rnacentral:lncRNA from 1 species
AUUUCCUACCUUGUUGUGCUUAUGUAUUGAAUGAUUUUUCUAUAUUUAUGAAAUGAGUUGUUGUUCUUUAAUUAUUCUUGCUCUUUAAUGUUUCCAAAGGGAUUAUCUAACCCUAGGACUCACCCAUUAACUCCGAUUUAAUUUUGGGAAAGAUUAAUUAACAAGAACUUGAGGCGUUAACCCUCAUUUUAUAGAUUUUACAUAGGGAAUAGGAUUGAACUACUUGUAGCCUUGUAGGUGUGUUUAAUCUUCUAAUUGUGGUUAGGGAUAAUUCAAUUAGGAAGUCUUGUUAGUCUUCGGAAGAAGCUAACUAAGAAUUAUUAUCCGUGGCUAAUUAACAUAAACUCACGCNNNNNNNNNNNNNNNNNNNNNNNNNNNNNNNNNNNNNNNNNNNNNNNNNNNNNNNNNNNNNNNNNNNNNNNNNNNNNNNNNNNNNNNAUCAUGAAAUACAUUAGAUCGUUACUUGAGUGUAAUUCCCGAUGCUUUCAUACUUGUAGCCAUUGAUCAUUUUAUUUGCUUUCUAGGUUAGUUUACAUUUACAUAUCUUUGAUAUAAAAACAUUUUUCAAACCAAAAUUCUUAUUGUUUGGCACUACGCGACUAGUGAUAAUUCUCUUACAUUCCUAAUCGCCUACACGUUGUUCUCUGUGGAAUUCAACCCCGACUCAUAGUUGGGUAAUUAUAUUGCUGCAACCGUAUCUAUUGCUUUUUAGCGGUGGAUUUGGACGUCACUAGUGCACAAUGUCACCGGCAUCUAAGGCCAAUAACAAAAAUCAAUAUAAGUUGUGGUACGUGAACCACUCGAUCCCAAUCAUAAUAUCUCGUGGUCGGCGUGCCACAUGAUCCCAAUCAUAAUACCUCGUGGUCGGCUUGGCACAUGAUCCAAAACAUAACACCUCAUGGUCGGCGUGCCACACGAUCCCAAUCAUAAUACUUUGUGGUCGGCGUGCCACAUGAUCCCAUUCAUAAUACCUCAUGGUCGGCGUGCCACACGAUCCCAAUCAUAAUACCUUGUGGUCGGCGUGCCAUUUGACGACCCUUGUCCUUAUUGUGGUGGACCACACUCAUGGAUUAAAUUCUCCCGGAGGUGGAUUGUGCGCACAAUCUCAUCCCCAUGGUUGGAGUAUUUGUGAUAAGUGUGGUUGCCAAGGGAGUUGUUCAUAUUUUGACGACCCUUGUCCUUAUUGUGGUGGACCACACUCAUGGCAACAUUGUUUAAAUUCUGUCGGGGGUGGAUUGUGUGCACAAUCUCAACCCCAUGGUGGGAGUAUUUGUGAUAAGUGUCGUUGCCAAAAUGGUCAUUGGGAUUAUUGUGCAUAUUUGACCUUCCCUUCCCCAAGCCCCUACUAUGAUGAGUUUUCUUCUUGUGAUGAAAACUAUAGGGCUAUGGGAAAUGAAGAAGUUGAGCAACUCCUAAAUGGAGAGUUCUGACUCAUGUUGGAGUGUCUACUUGAAGAAGGAAACAAAGAGUAAAAUGCCUUGGGACAUCUUUUUGAGACUAGUCUCCAAAAUGAUUUGGCACUCCAACGAUUGCACUCACAAAUAGAGGAAAUGAUCGAAGCCUCAAGGGUUCAAAGAGCCUUGGAAGUGAAUGAAGACCAAAACCCUUCCUUGGAGAUUGAAAGUGAGAACCUUUUCUUAGCACUUGAUCAAAACCAAGAAGAGCUCCCAAAUGCUCAAAAUGAGAAAAUAAUGCCCUUGUUGGAGACCAUUCUUGAAAACGAGGAAAAGCACAACUUUUCACUCGAGGACUUGAAACAAAGCUUGGCGUACAAUGAGGAACAUAUCCGCACCUUGGAAAAUCAAAAGCAAGUAUUGAUUGAGGCUCACUAUGCCUAACAACUUGAGUGUGUGGAAGAGAGUCAAGAAGAGUCCAAUUCCAAGGAAGAGAGUGAGCUUUACUUUGAGGAGUCAAGAAUUGAACAUCCGCCAACAAUGAGUGUUAUUGAUGUUGACAAAAAUAUGGAAUUGGAGUCAACCGGUAAAAAUACAAUAUUGGUUUAUGUUGACUCUAAUCCGAGGGAAAGAGAGGAUAUCAAGCUAGAAAAAUUGCAAAGUGAGGGCUUGAAGUCACAUUCCAAGCACUUUUCAAUGUUGGAAUUGUGUGGUGACACGGAAGUUGAACCACAUGAAUCAAUGAAAGAGUGCGAGGAGGAAAAACUCAGGCCAUACAUUUUACAGUUUGAGGAAGCAAGAAAUUAAAACGACAUUCCUCACUUGAAAGCCAAGAAGUGCGAAAUGAAGAUUUUAGGCAUCAAAUUACCACCCCCAUCGCUCGUGGUCACAAGCUUGAUUCCAAGCUAGGUGCCCAAUUCAUAUCAUCCAAGUGGCGAGAAAAGUGGUCAUGUUGUUUGCGUCGUGCCACGACGUUAAAUGCAGAGCUUGGUGGGAUGCAACCCUUCGUUUUUCAAAAAUUUUCGUCAUUUUUGAAAUUUCUUUUUUAGAAUAGCUUAGAAAAUUAUUUUUGACUAAUCUACCAAGUGUUAGAUUUAUUGGAGUUGAUUUGAGCAGGCUGGGAUGACCUGGUUGGCAAAAUCCAGUAGUUGCUGGAAUUGUGUGGGAAAUCUCUGCUAAAACCGCUUCUGCGGUAUUUUGACCGCAUCUUUGGUACCGCAGAAGCAGAAAAUUCAACGCAAAAGCGGAGGCCACCGCAGAAGCGGCCAUUGGUUGCAUACGCGGAACCGCUGAAGCGACAAAAAAAUAGCUGAAGCGGAAAUUGCCCAGGUUUGAAAGAGAAAAAGAAGUUUAAACGGGUCAUUUUCCCAAAAAGCCCUCUGCUCCCACUGCCCUAAACCCCCCAAAAAAUGAACAAAUCUUCAAAAACUGAACAAGGUUGCUCAUAAUUCUUUCCAUAGCAAAAACUUCAGGUAAUAUCUUCCUUACCCUCUUCUCAUUCUUCAUCUCCCACUUCCCAUUCUAUAAAUGCAACUGAAUUUUUUUUUUGUGUUGUUUCAUGUCUUUUCUUCUUCCUUUUUAUUUUGAAUUCUUGUUGCUAUGUAGAAAGUGAGGAUUUGGUUGAGUAUAAAUGUGCAUGCUGUGCAAAUUGAAUGAAAUUGGGGGAAGUCUUGAGUACCCCAUUUUUGUGAAAGAAGGUCCAUCUUCACUCGCGCGCAAUGUGUUCGGCACAAUGCUUGAGUGAGAAUCUUGUGCGAAGUGGCACAACAUUAGUCUCAAUUGAAUCAUGUGCAAUUAAGUUGCUAAAUUCUUCUAUUUUGGGUGCCAAAUCUUUGAUUGAAGUUGAAAAAGAACGAAAAGUAACUGGCAGUGUGUUUCCUGAAGAAGAAGCACAGGUUCCGCAAAAGCGGAUGUUUCAACGCUUAAGCGAGACCGCUUUCGCGGUAAAAAUAUCACAAAAGAAAAAAAUUAAAAAAGUAAUAAAAUAAAAAUAGCAGAAGCGGUCGAAUGCCAACAUAAGCGGAACCGCCUCCGCAGCCCAAGUUCCGCAGAAGCGGAAACUACCCAGAAAUAGUAGAGGCAGUGUGUUUGCAACCGAGGCUUCCUGGGCCCGUUAAACCUUAAAUUUUUGUCUCAAAUGCAAUGUUUUGAAUUGCUUAACAUGAUUCAAUUGUCCGACUAAUUUUUUGGUGAUAUUUUGUAGGUGCUUUAAUUCAAAAAUGGACCCAAAUGCGAGCGGAUCGCACCGGAAAUUCAAGAAGCGGGUGAUGAGCUCUUUGAUGAUACGUGCUUCAUGUCUACUUCAGCGGAGCGCCGAUAUUUGGACGAGUAUGUCCACGAAAAGAUCUUGCUCGAAAGGAGGAUAAAUGAGGAGAAAUUGACCGAGAAGCUCCCGGACUUACAUGCUAGGCUAUAUACGUCCGGAUGGUCCUGUUUCAUUGCCACACCGUGCAAGGCCGAUGAGAUGUGGGUCCGUGAGUUCUAUGCCAAUAUUUGGCAUAAAAACUUUGUUGAUCUACAUAUCAUAAUCAGAGGACAGAUGGUGCGGUUUGGGGUGGAAUACAUCAACGAUACUCUUGGAAUCUCCAACUAUCCCGUGGAGCCGGCAAGCGAGAAAGAUCAUCGUGACAAUGGGAAGUGGCUUGUGUCCAAGCUUAUUACCCCAUAGUUGAGAGAGAAAUGGGGGAACAAACUAAAAGGGUUGAAAUCAAUAGACUUUACGACAUAUGCAAAGAGAUGGUUGCAUAUAGUGAGCAGCAUGGUAUGUUUGUGUGGGAACGUCACUGAUGUCUCCUACACCAGGGCUUUGAUCGUAGCAUGCCUCCUAGAUGGCAUACAGGUUAAUGUGGGGCACUACAUUCUUAAGGAGAUGAGGCGGUACGUGAGAGAAUACUCUAGAGAUAAGGAUGCAGUGUUGAUGUUUCCCUCAUUGAUUACGAGGAUAUGCUCCCGAGCUGAGGUUCCGUGCCUUUCCCUUUUGAGUAGCCAGCUCAACGGUACCUUGUCUAGCACUUCAAAAUUAGAAACCUUACUCUCUUUAAUUGUUCAUGAAUAAUGGUCUAACUUAGCCAAGUCAGUUAUGUUGUCCGCAUAAUGAAUCAUUAGAAUAGCCUAAACCAAAGUCCAUCGGGUUUCCUCGAAACCCAAACGGACAUUCACGUUAUGUGCAUUGAUUUGGAGAAUUAAAUGCCUUUGCUAAUUAUUGAUUUAAAUAGUUGAGUCCGGUGGGGUUAAGUGCCUAACUCUCUAUUUUGCAAGAAAAUGAGGCACGAGGUCCCCAGAUUCGGCAUGGUGUCAAACAUUCAUCAAAAGUUGCUAAGCUGGUGGGAUGAUUUGCAUGGUAGUGAUCGGGUUCUUNNNNNNNNNNNNNNNNNNNNNNNNNNNNNNNNNNNNNNNNNNNNNNNNNNNNNNNNNNNNNNNNNNNNNNNNNNNNNNNNNNNNNNNNNNNNNNNNNNNNNNNNNNNNNNNNNNNUGUGGAAGCUGCUACUAUGUUUUGGGAUAGUGAACGGUCCGUCUUCCGCUUUGGGGGUAUUGAAAUGACACUGUUAUUGGAAGAAAUUGGGGGUCUAGCCGGAAUUCCUUGGGAUAGCCCGGAUUUGCUUAUGCCGGAAAACCUCAAAGGUAGAGGGUGCUUGAAAAUGAUGGGGCUCAAGAAGAAUCCUAAUCUGACUAGUCUGAAAGACUCCUACAUAUCCUUCGACUUCAUGUAUGAAAGGUUCGGACAUAGCAAAAUCAUACCGCAAUCACAUGGACGAGUUCGCCCUCACCUCUUUGGGGCACAUACAUAGGAGGGCCUUUGUAUUCAUGUUUUGUUUUCUGGGCAUGAUAGUUUUUCCGAUAAAGAAGUCUAUAAUCCAUACAAGACUAGCCAUUGUGACCAAAGCUGUAAUGGAGGGUAUCGAGGGGCAGACAUUCAGCAUAGCACCUAUGAUCCUCGCCGAACUGUACCGAGCCUUAGAAAAAUAUCAAUAAGGGGCACCGCACUUUGAAGGGUGCAAUUUGCUACUACAGCUCUGGCUCAUCGAGCAUCUUCAGAAGGGAAUCUAUAGGCAAGAGAUUGUAUGACGAGAUUGGGAUGACCAUAUUGAUUUCCAUCAUCCAAAGCGAAUGCACUUUAUGCCGGAUAUGUUUGCUCACCAGGAAGAUGCCAGUGGAUGGAACUAUUAGGGAAUCUGAGAGAAUAGCAGGUACAAUGGAUGUACGAGUGGUUUCCAACUAAAGAGUUUAUCAUUCGGUCUAGGGAUGCACCAUUCCUUGUACUAAUCGGCUUAGAGGAACUUACCCUUAUGUCCUUCUCAAGGUAAUGAGGCAAGCGGGAAGAAAGCAGAUUAUAUCAAGGGUGGAAAAGAUGAGUUCCAGGAUGAUGAUAGCCCACACAGGUGUCAGGCUCAGCAUAUGUGGCUCUAUACCAAGGGUGGAAAAGAUGAGUCACUACAGGGCUGACUUCCAUGAUGAUGAUUGACCACACAGGUGUCGGGCUCAUCAUAUGUGGCACUCCAAAAUCAUUUUGGAAAAUGAAUCUAUGGAGCCAGACAAGUAUCAGGCGGGGCAUGCUCCGCUUUAUCAAGGGUGGCUAAAAGAUGAUCACACUGGCUUGGGAAGAACGAGUUUCGUCCAUGGUCACAGGGUUAUUGAUGAGGAGGCUGCAGCAAAGGUCAAGUAUAAUCAGUUGCGCAAGCGGAUGCGAGAGAGUGAAAGUGAACAUCGGGAAAUGCUAAAGGCUCAAGAGAAGGUAAUCAAUGAAUGGAAGGACAUGGUUGUCCAUGCAAACAAACGUUUAGGGUACUUGGAACGGGGUCUAGUGGAACUAGAAGGCAAGUUUCUGAAAAGGAUCAACGACUGUCAGGAAGCUGAAGGUAACGAAGCUGGGCACUUGGCUCGGGCUUACUUGUUACUGGGAGUGCACGAGCUGAUGAAACUGUACGAGGGAGGCAAAGAUACUGAAUCUGGGGAAGGUCUUUCUGGGACCAAGUAGUUAGGAUUUUACUGCUUUCCUGAUGUAAUAAGACCUUUGGCCAUUAGUGAAUUUUUCUUUAUGUCCGUUUGUUUUAACUCAUUCUAUUAUCUGUCAAUAAAAUUAGGCAUUUGGUAUUACGAGUUCUCCAAAUCAUAUUUGUCGCUACGCCUACCUCGGGCAUAACGAGGAACCCAAAUAGGAAACGACUUAUAUUCCUAUCUCCAAAUCAUAUUUUUCGCUAGGCCUACCUCGGACACAACGAGGCACCAUUAUAGGAAACGACUUAUAUUCCUACAAUAACAUGUUUAAAUACCGCAAUGUUUUCUUUCUCAGAAUCCGCACUAACUUUUUACCUUUUGUUUUUCCCCAAAUAGGAAACGGCUUACAUUUUUGCAACAACGUGUUUAAAUACUGCAAUGUUCUCUUUCUCAGAAUGCGCACUAACUUUUUACCUUUUUUUUCUUUUGUUUUUAUUCCCCUCCCCAAAUGUUAAUUUGUGCAUUCUGGCACCAUCAGCAUACUCAACAAGAUCAAAGGGUCCUCCUCCCCCGAGUCCUCCCAGAAACAGGAACAAACGAAAGAUGGGAGAUAAUGAAGCAAGGAAGGAAAUUGAAGGAACUUCUCAGGGUAUCCCGAUCACCAAAGAAACUGCUGCUCAAUUGGAGCAAACUCUGCUAAGAUUUCGAGAGGAGCUGGACCAGGUCCGGAGUUUGGCAAGCUUGUCCAUCUCCCUUACUGCUGCAGAUGUCAACAACCAGGUCCAUGCACCUCCGCAGAAGAUCACAACCCAGGUUCGCAAAAAUGCUCCACCCUCGUCCCAGAGCCCCAGAAUGCUCCAAACCACUAGGAUACCCAUAUAUUUGUGGAUACUGUGCCAUACUAUACACAUCCUAUAUCAGAUGUGUCAGAAUCAGACUCACUCAUUCAGAACUUGGCUGCUGAACUUAAGAACUCACUAGCAGGGUUCAAGGCGUGGAAGGUAAUAAAGGCGUGAAUGGUCUAAAUUAUGAAGACAUGUGUGUUCAACCUGAUAUCGAACUCCUAGAGGGGUACAAAACUCCUAAGUUCUAAAUGUUUGAUUGUACGGGUGAUCCCAGGGUUCACCUCAGGAUGUAUUGUGACAAGUUAGUGGGAGUCGGUAAUGAUGAAAAGAUUCGCAUGAAAGUGUUCAUGAGGAGCUUGUAAGGUGAUGCGUUAUCUUGGUAUAUCAUCCAAGAUGCGAAAAAGUGGACUAGUUGGGUAAACAUGGCUUUUGAUUUCAUGGAGUGUUUUAGGUUCAACACUGAGAACGCGCCGGGCGUGUUCUAUAUCCAGAAUUUGAAGAAGAAGCCUAUUGAAACCUUUCACGAGUAUGCUACUCGUUGGAGGUCGAAAGCUGCCAAAAUUAGGCCGGCUUUGGAAGAAGAAGAAAUGAACAGAUUUUUCAUUCGUGCUCAGGACCCACAAUAUUAUGAGAGAUUGAUGCUAGUAGAGGGGCAAAAGUUCGCUGAUAUCAUCAAAUUGGUAGAAAGAAUUGAAGAGGGGAUCAUCAAUGGCAUGGUUACUAACCUUGAGGCACUGCAGGCCACCAACAAAGCCUUGCAAUUUGGUGGUUCGUCGAAGAAAAAAGAUUUAAACUCCGUAUUGGCUACGCAAAGAAACCACUCUCCCAUGAAAUACCAACCCUACCCUCCAAGUCCACUCACACACCAACACUCUCUAAAUUACCAAGCACCUUUUCCUACCUAUAAAAAUCCACAUCCCGACUACCAAACAACUUCAUCACCAACAUAUCAUCCCAUCUCGCCAGUAUAUUCCCAACCCACACCCAUAUACCAAGCUUACAAUUCCCAACCUCCUCACUAUCCAUCACCUCCUACCCACCAAAACUUCCCACGACCAAGACCAAACUUUGACCACAAACCGCCCAAACAGUACACUGCUAUUGCUGAAACCAUUGACCAAUUGUAUGAGAAGCUCAAAGCCACUUGAUAUGUUACACCCAUCCCAGCCGUAACCCCAAAAAACCCCUCCCAAUGGAUCAACCCAAAUAAAACCUGCUCAUACCAUUCGGGGAUGAAGGGCCAUACCAUUGACGAGUGCCGCUCGUUAAAGGAUAAAAUCCAUACCUUAAUUGACAACAAGGUCAUCAUAGCUAAGGAUCCUACUCCUAAUGUUCGUAACAACCCUAUGCCAGACCACAAAGGUGGAGGCAUCCACAUGAUUGAGGUAGAAGACAACUGGGACCCCGAAUGGUCGAUUGGUUUGAUAUCUGAGGGAGAUGAGCCCAAGAAACUGGCGGUCACUCUUAAUCCUAUUGUUGUGCAAAUUCAUCUAUCUGAGGACAGCGUGGUGAAUAUAUCUAUACCAUUUGAGUUUGAGGCAUCUCCUGCAAAAGUGCCAAAACCAAUUGAGGUGGAGUUUCGGACUCCAAAGACGCCCGCACAAAAUCUAGCCAUUUGUGGACAACAUGGUGAAUAUAUCUGUAUCAUUUGAGUUUGAGGCACCUCCUGCAAAAGUGCCAAAACCAAUUGAGGUGGAGUUCGGCACUCCAAUGACGCCUGGACCAAUUAAAGUUGCUAUGUUGCCUCCAAGGGUGCCUAUUCCGGUCACCAUGUCGGACAUAACCCCAUUUUAGUCAAAUGCCAUACCCUAGGACUACACAGCCGAAGCGAGAAUGAAAGGAAAAGCACGCACAGGUGAAGCAGUUACCGCGUAAGGUAUGACUAGAACAGGCAGGGUAUACACACCAGAGCACAUAGCUGAGUCCUACAAGCAGGCGUUUGGGCAUCCCAUUGAAACAGGAUCCGAUGAUCUCUGGAGAAAGAUAUAGGCUAAGGAAUAUUCAGUUUUUGAACAGCUAAACAAGACUCCGACGCAGAUUUCCAUCUUCGCAUUGCUGGAAUUUCGAGGUGUAUGAGAAUGCCUUGACAGAGAUAUUGAGCGAGGCUUAUGUCCCGAGCAAUAUAACAAGAGGAGAAAUGCGAACAUGAUAGGACAGGAUUGGAAAGUCACAAAAUCACUUUCCACAAGGAUGAAUUGCCACCUGAAGGGCUCAGUCAUAACAAAGCACUACACAUCACUGUGCAAUGCGAGGAUCAUUUCAUCAUGAGAAUCUUAGUCGAUGGAGGUUCCAGUCUCAAGAUUUGGCCACUGAUCACCCUCAAGAAGUUAGGAAAAGGAUUGCAUGAGAUAAAAGAUGGAGCUAUUAAUGUUAAGGCUUUUUACGGUUCUUAUAGGUCCACUCUCGGGGAGAUUAGCCUGUGUUUGCAAAUAGGGCCCACUUAGUUCUAUGUUGAUUUCCAGGUCAUCGACAUACCAACAUCUUACAACUUACUGCUGGGACGACCCUGGAUCUACGCCGAUGGGGCAGUAGCAUCAACCUUACAUCAGGCUGCGAAGUUCAAAUGGAACCAUCAGGAAGUAAUCAUCCAUGGUGACGGCAGCAACCCCAUAUACAGUCGCCAGACCAUUCCAAUGAUCGGAGGCAGAAGGAGAAUUGGCGGAGAAACAUAUCAUCAUAUUGAACGGGUCAACGCAGUGGACAAGGACAAAUAGUGGAGCAACAAGGUUGAGAGAAUUCUUAAUUUGAGUGGGCAUGAACCAGUGAAAGGACUUGGUAAAAAUCUUUAGGGCAUCACCAAACCUAUCCAGUUGAAUAAGCAUGGUACUACCUUCGAACUAGGGUACGAGUACACUUGGCAGGAAUUCAAAAACUGGUCACCCCCAUAGCGUGGCCCAUAUUACCCAUUGGAAUACCCCAUACCUCAGUUGGAGCAAAUAUUUCAGCCAGCUGACACUCUCUAUGGGUUAGAAGAAGACGAGGCUCUUGCAGCAAUAAAGAACAUGUUUCUAAAGGAGGACAUAGAAUGUUGUGUGAAUUUUGAAGAGGAAGGGGAGGAAUGCCCUUCCAUUCAGGCUGUGAACCGAGGGGAGCACCUCACCAAUUGGUCAAUCAGGACCAUCAUCGCUCGAAAAUCUUUGGGGUAGAAAGGCUAAACAAGCAUCAUGCAUCUUUGGUUUUAGUAGUUUUCUUUACUUCCAGCAUUGUCUUUACUUUCCAAAAGAGCUCCGAUGUUCUGAACAUUUAUGAAUUUAAUUUUAUCAAAUAUCUUGCUAUUCAUUACUUUUCUCGGCUAUUUGCUUUAUUUUCCACACAGCAUUACUAUUACGUAUCUUGAUGAUGAACCGACAACUGUAAUUUGCAACGAGGCUAUGCAACAAGUGGACAUAGACUCAGGAGGAUGAUAUGCCAGAAGAAGUUGUCAGAGAGGCUGAGAAUUUUGAAAAUAAAUGUAAGUCCAACUUGAAAUAAAAUCGAAGUAGUCAAUUUGGGAGAUAUAGAAAAUGUCAAAGAGGCGCGCAUCAGUGUGCGCUUAUCACAGACAGAAAAGGAAAAAUAUAUAGUGUUCUUAAGGUAAUAUGAGGAUAUAUUCGCAUGGUCUUACGACGAUAUGACUGGCUUCAGCACAUCCAUCGUCGCUCACAAGUUGCCAAUAGAUCCUGCAUGUCCGCCGGUAAAAUAGAAGCUUAGAAAAUUCAGGCCACAUAUGAGUUUAAAAAUCAAGGAGGAGGUCACCAAGCAGAUCAAAGCCAAAGUUCUUCAAGUGGUAGAGUAUCCAACUUGGUUGGCUAACAUCGUGCCAGUACCAAAGAAGGAUGGGAAUGUUAGAGUUUGUGUCGACUACCGGGAUCUCAACCGGGCCAGUCCCAAAGACGAUUUCCCCUUGCCAAACAUACACAUUCUGAUCGAAAACUGUGUCAAGAAUGAAUUGCAGUCAUUCGUCGACUUCUUUGUGGGGUACCAUCAGAUAUGGAUGGAUAAGGAAGAUGCAGAGAAAACAUUGUUUGUCACGCCCUGGGGAAUGUAUUACUACAGAAUGAUGCCGUUCGGGUUGAAGAAUGCGGGAGCUACUUACAGAGUGGGUCAAGGUUCGCUACGAACAGUUAGCCUUCAUAGAUGGAAAGAGAAUGAACGAUGUCUGUCACGGUCAGUUAUAUCAUAACAGAAUGGCUAGACCCUUCAACAAGAGAGUUCGACCGAGGAAGUUUACACACCAGGGUAGCUGGUGUUGAAAAAGAUAUUUCCACAUCAAGAUGAGGCCAAAGGGAAGUUCUCUCCCAACCGGCAGGAUCUGUACAUGGUUCACCGUGUUCUAACUAUAGGAGCCCUUAUUCUUGCAGAAAUGGAUGGAGAAAUCUGGCUAAAACCGAUCAACUCAGAUGGAGUGAAGAGAUAUUACAUUUGAUCAUUGUGCUUUCCUUUAUGAUGUAAUUUAAACUACGCCCGACCUGAUUCUAGUUUAAGAGAGGAUACGUAGGCAGCCCAAUGGGUUCGAUCACAUCUCUAAUAAAAUUCCAUUUUCCCCCGCAUUUGGAACUGGGCAGAAUUUUGAGGAGGACCCUCAAAAUUCUGAAGUCAGCUUGUCAAUUUUCGCAUCAGCAUCGACCUAGUAAACUGAGGCAGAAUUUUGAGGAGGACCCUCAAAAUUCCAAGGUCAAUCCGCUUUUAGUCAUUUAGCACCGCUGUCAAUAGCGCCAGCCGAGUAAACCGGGGCAGAAUUUUGAAGAGGACCCUCAAAAUCUUGGAGACGGCGAGGUUGUCGUGCCUUGAACCACGUUGCAGUUGUGGUUCAUCAUAAAACAAAUUGUCUUCUCUUUACUUAUAUAUGUACAUUGGCAUCAUGUUUGCCAAAUUUUGCAUAAAAUAAUUUGGAUUACUAUCGUUCAACAAUGCUACCCCAAAUGGUACAUGACGCCACGAGCAAAAGAAUACGAACUAACCUCCCGCUUUUACAGAACUCACGAUUUUUCUUUGGAUGAAGGACACAAGCCAGUAACGCAACUGUUCCUCGGAGUCAAAAUUCCCAAAACGGCCCCUACUUCGCAGAAGUUUACUAUCUACAGGCAGAAGUUUCCCUAGCAGUCACAAUAUCACAAUCAUCUACCAGCUAAGCAAACGCUACUAUCUUCCCCGUUAUAUUCUCGCAUUGCAUAAGGCUAUUCUCUGCCUUUUGAGGUUAAGCUCUACCUCCUUCCAGCAUAAGCUAUUCUCUACCUUCCGAGGUUAAGAUCUACCUCCAACCUGCAUAAGGCUAUUCUCUGCCUUCCGAGGUUAAGCUCUACCUCCAUCCUUUAAAGGCUAUACUCUACCUUCCGAGGUUAAGCUCUAUCUCCAUCCUGCAUAAGGCUAUUCUCUGCCUUUUGAGACUAAGCUCUGUCUCCAUCUUGCAUUUUGCAUAAGNNNNNNNNNNNNNNNNNNNNNNNNNNNNNNNNNNNNNNNNNNNNNNNNNNNNNNNNNNNNNNNNNNNNNNNNNNNNNNNNNNNNNNNNNNNNNNNNNNNNNNNNNNNNNGACUUCAAACUUGAAAUGAAUUCACUUGCAUAAGGCUAUUUUUUGCCUUUAGAGACUAAGCUCUGUCUCUAUCUACAUUUCUUGCAUUGCAUAAGGCUAUUCUCUUCCUUCCGAGGUUAAGCUUUACCUCCAUCCUGCAUAAGGCUAUUCUCUGCCUUCCGAGGUUAAGCUCUACCUCCAUCCUGCANNNNNNNNNNNNNNNNNNNNNNNNNNNNNNNNNNNNNNNNNNNNNNNNNNNNNNNNNNNNNNNNNNNNNNNNNNNNNNNNNNNNNNNNNNNNNNNNNNNNNNNNNNNNNNNNNNNNNNNNNNNNNNNNNNNNNNNNNNNNNNNNNNNNNNNNNNNNNNNNNNNNNNNNNNNNNNNNNNNNNNNNNNNNNNNNNNNNNNNNNNNNNNNNNNNNNNNNNNNNNNNNNNNNNNNNNNNNNNNNNNNNNNNNNNNNNNNNNNNNNNNGCUAUUUUCUGCCUUUCGAGACUAAGCUCUGUCUCCAUCUGCAUUUCUUGCAUUGCAUAAGGCUAUUCUCUACCUUCCGAGGUUAAGCUCUACCUACAUCCUGCAUAAGGCUAUCUACUGCCUUUCGAGACUAAGCUCUGUCUCCAUCUUGCAAUUUGCAUAAGGCUAUUCUCUGCCUUCCGAGGUUAAGCUCUACCUCUAUCCUGCAUAAGGCUAUNNNNNNNNNNNNNNNNNNNNNNNNNNNNNNNNNNNNNNNNNNNNNNNNNNNNNNNNNNNNNNNNNNNNNNNNNNNNNNNNNNNNNNNNNNNNNNNNNNNNNNNNNNNNNNCUUCCGAGGUUAAGCUCUACCUCCAUCCUUGCAUAAGGCUAUCUUCUGCCUUUUGAGACUAAGAUCUUUCUCCAUCUUGCAUUGCAUAAGGCUAUUAUCUGCCUUUCGGGGCUAAGCUCUGCCUCUAUCCUGCAUAAUGCUAUCUUUCGCCUUUCGAGACUAAGCUCUUUCUCCAUUUUGCAUUGCAUAAGGCUAUCUUCUGCUUUUCGAGGUUAAGCUCUACCGCCUUUAUUUUGCAUUUUGGCUGAAAUAUCGCCACCCUAUUUCAUUUUGGCUGAAAUAUCGCCACCCUACAGUUUAAAAUUCUUCUCGGCUGAAAGAUCGCCACCCUCUACAUUCAUUCGGCUUCAAACUUGAAUGUAUUCUCAUGCUCUCCAGACGGGCUCCUGAUUCAAAAAUAGACAAAACAAAGAAUUUGAAAGCUGAAGCUUAAAUUGUACUCCCUUAUUCUUCAGGCUGGCUCCUGACUUCUGCACUUAAUGUAUUCUCAUGCUAUCCAGGCGGGCUCCUAACUUCAAACUUGAAAUGUAUUCCCUUGCUAUCCAUGCUAGCUCCUGACUUCAAAAAUAGAUAAAAUAAAGAAUUUGAAAGCUGAAGCUUAAAUUGUACUCCCUUGUUCUCCAGGCGGGCUCCUGACUUCUGCGCUUAAAUAUAUUCCCAUGCUAUCCAGGUGGGCUCCUGACUUCAAACUUGAAAUAUAUUCUCAUGCUAUCCAGGCGGGCUCCUGACUUCAAAAUAGACAAAAUAAAGAAUUUGAAAGCUGAAACUUAAAUUGUAUUCCCUUGUUCUCCAAGCGGGCUUCUGAUUGUUGCGCUUGAAUGUAUUCCCAUGCUAUCCAUGCGGGCUCCUAACUUCAAACUUGAAAUUUAUUCUGAUGCUAUCCAGAUGGCCUCAUGACUUUAAAAAUAGACAAAACAUAGAAUUUGAAAGCUGAAACUUAAAUUGUACUCCCUUGUUCUCCAAGCGGGCUCCUGACUGAUGCGCUUGAAUGUAUUCCCAUGCUAUCCAGGCAGCUCCUGACUUCAAACUUGAAAGUACUCCCAUGCUAUCCAGGCAGGCUCCUGACUUCAAAGUAGACAAAACAAAGAAUUUGAAAGCUAAAACUUAAAUUGUACUCCCUUUUUCUCCAAGUGGGUUCCUGACUUCAAACUUGAAAUGAAUUCCUAUGCUAUCCAGGCGGGCUCCUGUCUUCAAACUUGAAAUGUAUUCCCAUGUUAUCCAGGAGGGCUCCUGACUUCAACAAAUCAUACAAAAACAAGGAAACUUUUCUACCCCAGUUUGGUAGCUGGGCACGUGGGUGAGUGUUAUUGAAUCAUAAACCAACUAUUACUAAGAAUUUGAAAGCUAAGUCCUAUUAUCCAGGGAGGUCCUGAAAAUUCCUAACAAUUACGAACCUAAGUUAUAUCUUCUAAACUAUUACUAUCGCUACAUCAUGUCAUCUACAAGAAUUUUAAACUACAUCCUAUUAUCCAGGAAGGUCCUGACCAACCUACUUGAAUUUUAUCUUAAACAUGCAAACUUUCAUUCUCGUAUGUUAUUCAUGAAUGUCUCAUACCACACUUUGCGGUCAAACCAUAUUACUGCUUGUUUUUCCCUCAUGGAGAAUUCCCCCAAAACAAUCGACUUUUCCUUCCAUGUUUUAAUAAAAGAAAAUUUUGUCAGUUUAAAAUGGUGGUUAGUUGAUGGCAAUCUUGCUGAAAAUCCUUCCACCGUAUUGCUUUGUUUUGACUGGCUUCCUCGAACUGGCCUUGAACAGCUUCUGACUGUAUUUCAAAUUCCCUGAUUUUUAACAAUCCGAGUGUUCUGUACUCCUGAUGUUGUUUCGCACCUCUAACCCCUUUAUCUGACCUUUUACAUCUCCCACGAUAUUUCCAAAUCAUUCCACCGAUGUUUACAUACUUUAACCACAUCGUGCUUUACACUCUCCGAAAUUCGGUAGUUAGUUUUGAAAUCCCCCUCCACUUGCAUUGAACAAAACUAACAUUGAAACAUCUUAGACAUAUACCCUCCCCCNNNNNNNNNNNNNNNNNNNNNNNNNNNNNNNNNNNNNNNNNNNNNNNNNNNNNNNNNNNNNNNNNNNNNNNNNNNNNNNNNNNNNNNNNNNNNNNNNNNNNNNNNNNNNNNNNNNNNNNNNNNNNNNNNNNNNNNNNNNNNNNNNNNNNNNNNNNNNNNNNNNNNNNNNNNNNNNNNNNNNNNNNNNNNNNNNNNNNNNNNNNNNNNNNNNNNNNNNNNNNNNNNNNNNNNNNNNNNNNNNNNNNNNNNNNNNNNNNNNNNNNNNNNNNNNNNNNNNNNNNNNNNNNNNNNNNNNNNNNNNNNNNNNNNNNNNNNNNNNNNNNNNNNNNNNNNNNNNNNNNNNNNNNNNNNNNNNNNNNNNNNNNNNNNNNNNNNNNNNAAAAAUAAAAUGCAAUGAUUUUACGAGGUAAGGAUAGGAAGGAUCCAAAACCGGAUGAUUGCUAAAAGAGAAGGAAAAGAAACUUAUCUGACCAGAAUAGCUGGCAUCAAUGGUCAUGACAUGCACUCCGGACUAGUCGGACCAAUCUGUCCAAUUAACCAGCUCUUGGUCGCCACACGUUGUUGCUCCUGAAUCUUCAUCACUUGAUUACUUUACCCAAACCUUAGCCUUGUUCAUCCUGCGGUACCUCAAAACAGUUUUCCACCAGCACACCUCUCUUAUUUGUUCAUUUCUUAAUUCACUCUUGCCUCAAGGUGCCCGCGAGGGUUUUCACCAAUAAGACUCUCUCAUUUUUAUUUCUCUCGGCUUCCGUCGCCUUACAGUGCCCUUGAGGGUUUUCACCAAUAAGACUCUCAUUUUUUUAGUUUUUCCUGCUUGGACCAGAGUGUUGUCCUAGACAUGAAUUUCCUUUACUUACUUGAUUUGUCAUUUCUCAAAGAUUGAUCAAAAGUUCUUUCUUUGAACCGUAAUCUGGGUUUUUGAACGGUGUUAGAAAGAAAGGGAACAAAAGGCUCAAAAACAACUCAAAAUUGGCUAAAACUACAACUUUUGGAAUUAUAUCUUUCCAAAACAAUCACAACUUCUACCCCAGUUCUUGCUUGAGGAAUUUUAGAUUUUAUUUUGGUAUGACUGAACCUCGGAGGAAGGCUGCCUACGUACCCUUUUGGGAUCAAGCCAAACGUAGUUCACGUCAUAAAAAUUAAUUUGUGGUGAUUUUUCUUUCUUCUUUUCUUUUGUUUUUCUUUUCUUAUUUUUCCUUUCUUUUUCAUUUUUCUUUUCUUUCUUUCUUUCUUUUAUUUUUUUUCUUCUCUUCUUUUCAGUUUUCCUUUUCUUUUUCUUUACCUUUCUUUCUUUUUCUUGUUAUUUUUCUUUCUUUCCUUUUCUCUUUUCUUUCUUUCUUUCCUUUUCUCUUUUCUUUCUUUCUUUCCUUUUCUUCUUUUCUUUUCUUUUCUUUUAUGUACUCAUCUUCGGCACUUGCAUUUCUUAUUUGUGCCAUUGAUUCUGAAAGAGGGGUAUAAAAGAAAAUAAACACGGUUCAAAAUGGGUAACAAAGGAUAAAGUGUUUCAGAUAGCAGAACAAAAUGCCUUUGUCAUUUCAAUCUUCAAAAAACUCCAACUACAAAAUAAGUACAAUCAAAAUAAAGAAAUCAUACAGAGUACCUCUUGACCACAUCGGAGUUGAUGGCUAUUUCUACACAUUUUCCUUCCACAUCUGUUAGGUAUAAUGCAUCAUUAGAAAACACUCCGGUUACAACAAAUGGCCCCCUAAAAGUUUGGGGCACAUUUCCCUUUUUUCUUCAGUCUGGUGAGGCAAGAUACGUCUCAGCACUAACUGUCCGACUUCAAACUUACUCGGACGCACUUUCUUUUUGUACGCUCUUGCCAUUUUUGUUGGUACCAUUGGCCAUGACACACUAAUGCUAAUAUUUUUUCAUCAAUCAAACUCAAAUGUUCAAGGCAGGUGAAAUCGUCAUCAUGUUCCAACUCAUUAUCACACUCAAUUUCUUGUAUUAUUACUUUAGAAAAAGAUCGGCCUUCAAGACUGGGUAUAGGAUUCCUCAUGCGUGUCAUGUUAUUGAUAUCAACCUAAAAAGAACUGUACAGAGAAGAAAAACAAACUGAAACAAAAUUAAGAAUGAAGAAAGAAAGAAAGACAAUUGCAUUUCAUUGAAGGAAAAUAUAACAAGGAUUUAACUCAUCCAAACGGACGGAACACAGUAUCUGGACUAUAGACUUUGGAAUAAUCCAGACAACUUAAAGAGAAACAAGACCCACUACCAAGACUUCUAGUCAUUGAGUUUUUCCCAUGGUCAGACGAACUGCACAUUUACCUUUCUUGACCCUCCCUCAUCUUCAACCAUGUUUACCUCAGUGAAUAAUCCUUUGAACUCCUUUCCCACGUCUCCAUCCGUACCACUCAAUGACCCAAGAACCUUUGACGACAGCGGCUUGUUAUCCCCCCUUUUAACUGAAAUACCACUUUCUCAUUGAUUGACUCUUCAUUCAAAUUGGCUUAGCUAGAGCGGAUUACCCUCUGUGAAGGUUUCUUAGGCUUCCCUCCCCUAUGCAUCAAUUCAAUCACAUGAGCCUCAUGGUGAGCUGGCAGCAGAUUCUGGUUAAUGUUUGGUGCCUUUGGGGCCUAAACCUCAAUUCGUUUAGUGUCAAUAAGCUCUUGCACAGCCGUUUUCAGUUUCCAAUAUUUUUCAGUAUCAUGCACGGGGACUCCCGGACAAUAUUCACAACUCAAUGACUGGUCCAUAUUUCUAGGAAGGGGAUUUUACACAUUGGUCUCAAUCGCGGUCAGCAGGACCAGCUGUCUCAAUUUGUGGAAAAGACUAGUAUAUGACUCCCCCAGCGGAGUGAAUGUUUUCUACUUUUGUACCUUUUCAUUGCGGAAGGCUUGAGUCCCACAGAAACCAGGCCCUAGAGUAUUUCUGUAAGCCUUUGGGGAUGGAUAUGUGUUUCGUGGAGGUGGGUAUGUGUUUUGGGGAUCCGUUGCACGCCAUUGCACAUGAGCCGAAGGCUGGGUAUAAGCUUGAGCAUGGUGAACAGAAAAAUGUGGGUCUGGCAGUGGGUAGUGGUGUUGUGGAGGGUUAUAUGGGGUGUAAGGAUAAUUUUGGUAGUGGGGUCGGGGUUGGUUGUAGUUGGGUGAUGGGCUUCUAGAUCCGAACCAAGCUGCGGACUCAAUAGUUGAAACCUCUUCUUUCUUCUUCUUUCCUAGCAUACCCCCAGUGCCGCUUUAGAUGGCCUGGGUGAUUACUUUAAUCACUUAAUAGCUCAUGAUUUUAUCGUAUUUCAAUCUUUCCUCAACCAUAGCUCCCAUCUUCACCACUUCAUUAAAAGAUUUGCCAUUCGCCAUCACCAGGUGACCAAAACAAGUCGGCUCCAGAGCUUGUAAAAAGUAGUCGACCAUCUAUCUUUCUUUCAUCGGGGGGUCGAUCCUCGCAGCAUGUUCUCUCCAGCGGAACUCAUACUCCUAGAAACUUUCUCCUCGCUUCUUUUCAAAUUUUAUCAGUGACAGGCGAUUUGGAACAAUUUCUAGAUUGUACUGAAAAUGGUAGACGAACUCUUGUGCCAAGUCGUCCAUGGUCCUGUUGUGCAUAACACUCCAAAGCAGACCCACUUACACUCUGACUAAAGUACACCAUCACUACUUCAUCUUUCCCACUGACCUCUCUCAUUUUGCUGCAGAAUCCCCUCAGGUGGGCCACCGGGUUACCAUGCCCGUCUACAUAUCAUAUUUUGGCAUUUUGAACCAUGCGGGUAACUAAACAUCCGGGAAUAGACACAAAUCUUUAUAGGUCACAUUGACUUGGGCACCCAACCCUUUCAUGUUCCUGAAGGACUGCUCCAGGCUUUUUACUUUUCGAAUCAUCUCUUCCUUCUCCGGCUUUUUAAGUGGCUUUUCAGUUUCCACCGGGAGCUCAAAGUGAGGGGUGUAAGAAUAUAGCUCAGGAACCUUAAAUGUAGGCUCGAGAGGGUAAUACUAAUAAUUGUGAGCCUGAAACAGUGGCUCAUCGGAGGAUCAUUUCAGUUUGGUAGGUGGAGGUGCCACAAAGACAGGGUUGAUUGGUGGAGGAGGGUUUUGUUUGGGUGGUAGAGCUUGAGGAGGGUAUGAGGUGGUGUCGUGACUCUAUUGUUAGAAAGGAAAAGCCGGAGAUGAAUUCACAGUAGGAGGCUCCUAAGAGUUUGUUAACGGUGGGAGUAGGCUGGAUUGGCAUGAUAAACUGGAACCGACUGACCCCUAGACCAAGCCUGAUACAUUUCAGUCAUUUGUUGCCUCAACUUAUGCAUUUCUUCCCUCAUUGCAUUAACAUCCAUCACCUUUACCUCUUUUGUCGGGUCCACAAUACUGGUAUCGGAUUCUUGGCCUAUCAUUUUCAGCUUAUUUUUUGAUCGAGUGUUGUAGAAAUGGGUUGCCAGAAUGCCAAACAACUAACCACCUGCGUGGACUCAACAUCAACAAUAGCUUGGUUAAUGGUUAGGGCAUUAGUAGAUUUGAUAACCGCACGUUGGGGAAUGAAUGUACCUAAGCAAUUAACGGAUUAUAUUAUUGCUCGACUGCUUGCAUCAUCCCGGCUUUUACUUCUAAUGGCAACUUUCUUUCUUUUGGUUUCUCUUUUUGUUUCUUCUUUUUUUUCUUUCUUUUCUCUGUUUUUUCCCUUACCUUUGUUUUCUCUUUUCUUCGGUUAUCUCGUUCCCUCAAUUUCUUAUUUUCUCUCUUUUCUUUCUUGUUUAUCCGCUCUAUUCUUUUUCUUUUUCUCCUCUCUUAUUUUCUUUUCCUUUUUCAUCUGGUUGCGGUCGAAUCCUAUGAAGAUUGCCUAUGUAUCAUGACUCCCAUGAAUCAGACCGGGCGUAGUUCGCUAAGAUAAAAGUUAAAAACAACAAUAAAACAUAUUUUGAAACUUCUAGUUUUUCACAGUAAAACAAACAUUGAUUACAAUGAUUUAAAAACCGACAAACUUAAACAAAACUAACAGACUCUGACAAAAAGAAGUAAUACAGACUCGAAAAUCAAACAACUCACAUACUCUAAUCAAAACAAAUACAAAUUCAAAAACAAACUGACUGAUUCCUUCUCUUAUAUGCCAAUUUUAACCAAAUGGCCAUUUUUGCAAACGUGGCCCCUUCUCAAUUUCACAUGAAUUUUGAGGCUGGGAAGAAUUAUUUAAUGACACUUCACAAACUUCUCCGUUCUUUUAUGAAAAUAGCCUUUCGACAACUGAAAGAUACUCUAAGGCUAUCUCGGCAAGAACGAUUUAAGACACUGCCGAAGAUGGCUCGGCUUAUUUUAACAAAAAAUUCAAGCGUUAUUCACUUGACCUCUAAUUCUUUUCUUAGUUUUCAAAUUAAAAAAAAGACUUAGUUUCACGAUCACGGCCUUUCAGCACCUCGAGAACGAAGAUUUUAAUGUUGCGUUUGCCAACCGGCCAAAACCUUGAAAACUGACCAAAAAGUGACUGUUCUUGCAAAAGCAGCCUUCCGGUGCCCUCUUAGGGACAUUCGGCUAUUUCUGACAAGAAUGACUUCAUCUGACUUAUUUAUGCCAAAAUUUAAAACUUGGACAUUUUUUGGCUAUUUUUGCAAAGGGAAGGUUGGACCCGAUGAAGGUUGCCUACAUAUCUCACAUCCGGUGAGAAUCAAACCUGCGUAGUUCGGGCAAACUAACCGAACUAUUUUAAAACAUGACUCUUUUUCAUUAUUAUUUUUGGCAUUUCAAAUAAAAAAAAACUACUUUUAAAAACAAGACUCUUUUUUUCUUUCUUUUUCAACAAACAAUAGAACAGCCUAUUUUUUCAAACUAAAAAAAAAGACUUUUUUUUUCUUUUUCAAUAAAACAACCUAUUUUUUAAACUAAAAAUAAAAGACUCUUUUUCUUUUUCAACAAACAAGAAAACAACCUAUUUUUCUUUUUCCGUUGGCCAAUAAGCUAUUUAAAAACCAAAAAUCAAGACUCUUUUUCUUUUUCAUUUUCCAUGGCAAAACAAACUAUUUUUCCUUUUCCAUUUUUGAAAACAAGAUAAACUAAAAUAAAAGACUCCUUUUCACUUUUUUUUUUGCUUUUCUGAGUAAGGCAAACAAUUUAAACAUAAAAUAUUUUCUUUUCCAUUUUUCAAAAUUUCGGCAGAGUUUCGACAAUAUUUGGGCAUUGUUUUUUCUUUAUAAAUUGAGCAAUUAACUCUUUAUACUACUAUUUCUCUCUUUUUCUCAAUUUUCUAAUAUUCCCGAGAUUUAGAAGUCGGUCAACAUACGGGCCCGAAAUAAAUGCACAAAAAACAAGUAGGAUGCAUCAGGAUGGUCUUUUCAUUUCAGGUUGCUUAUCCUAGACGGACUCAACCCCCGUGUUGAGUCCCCCAAGUCAAAAUGCACAUGAUGCAGAUAAGCGUUCCUACUAGGGAUCCGACAUGAAGUUGUAUUAUUCUAGGUUCAAAACCUGGUAUUUGUUCUAAACCUGGCUUACCCGAGCGGACAGCUCAAGCCGAGAGGGUGGCAGCGUACCGAGAAUAUAGAAGCUUCACUGGCUUUGCAACUUAUCCGAACCUCGUUCUAAAAUUGGAGUAGACUCUAUGAAGAAAAGAAGUCACACAAAGUGCACCAUUCUUCAUGAUUUAGAAGACUCAGAUAGGAGAUAGGUUUCGACACGAUUUAUAUACAGUCCACGAAAUAUCAAAGCGGUAAAAACAAUCAAUUAGUACAUUAGGCACAUAUCAUGUAAUAAAAUCAGAUAAAGCCAAACACAAUAAUUUAUCUAAGCUCAAUUCUUGAACCCUAAGCAAAAUGUUCUGGGUUCUUGUCCCCAGCAGAGUUGCCAGAGCUGUCACACCUCCUUUUUCACUACACCCGCAAGGGCGCAAAAGAGUUUUUCCAUUUAAAGGACAAUCGGAACAGAAUUUAUUAUUAAUAUUCAGAGUCUCCACUUGGGAGAUUAAUGGUGUCCCAAGUCACCGGUUGAAUCCCGAACAGAAGAAAAUAUGACUCUGUAAACACUACGCGAACUAGAAAUCUGAGUAAGGAAUUUUGUUAACUCGGGAGAAGGUAUUAGGAAUUACCGGGUUCCGUGGUUCUAGCACGGUCGCUCAACUGUCCUGUUUAGCUUAUUUAUUUGAUUUUAUUACAUGAAUAACCUAUGUGCCAAUUUUACUUUUAACCGCUUAUUAUUAAUUUUUUAAGAAAGUUAAACGUCGUUUAAAACGUGUCUUUGGAUUGCAUCACAUGAAAUGCACCCGCAAUCCUAAACACACUUUAUUCAACGUUUUGGGAUUUGAUUUGGGUCACAUAAAAUACACACCCGAGUUUAGGAAAGUAUUUUUAUUAAAAUCAUGCUUAAAGAGGCUAACGCGUUAUUAUCUUUGGGGAAGGCCAUGAAAUUUGCUAAGCUGUCUAUCCCGAAAUUUAAGUAUUUUAAUUCAAUCAUUUAUUGAGAGUCCUGCAAUUUAUUUAUUUUGUUUGCGAGGCUCAUAUCAUUUUUUAUUUAAAAGGGAAACCUAAAAACAACUAUGAUUUUUCUAUUUUGUUUAUCUCUAAAAGUAAAAUAAAGGUCCUAAUUAAUUGUUAUUGAGGAAUUUCAUAGUCUAUCAAGCACUAAUAGACCAAAUUCCAUUUCAGCUUUAGGUCCAAAGAACCCAAUCCAUAUGUGGGAUAUGUGUUCUUAACAGGCUCAAGUGUUGGGCCUAAGACAGGCCCAAGCUGGAAAGGGCAGAAACAGGCUGCAUGUUGAGGGAUCGAAUCCCAGAAACCACUUUUGCAUGACUUUAUUUUGAAUUCAUGUUUCAUUCAAUUCGAAUUAUAGGAUGCAGACUAUUUUAUGUAUCCAUCUACUAAUGAUUCCUAUAUAUUAUUAAAGAUGAUGAUCAUAUUGGAGACAAGGAUUCGAACUGAAUAACAGUGAUAGCUACUUGAUUGCCUUAUUUCAUUUAACACAUGGACAUGAGUAGGUUAAUGCUCCCAAACUCAAACUAGCUGCUUCUAAACUAACUCGAACUAAAUUUGCUCACUCAAGUGAUUUGGUAUUUUGAGAAGAGUUGAACCGUGGGGAUUAACUACAUGAGAUAUAACACUAACUAAACUUGUUUUUAUAACUAUUGAAAACAAAUAAGCUCUUAAGAACUGAUAUUAAAACCAACAUUGAUCACUUAUAUUUGAGAUCUGACGUUACUUACUAAUAUUAUUCAAAUUAACAACACUCACUCAAAUGACUCACGAUCUCAUAAUUGAACCAUUAAACUAGCCUACCGAAACAUAUCAGGGAAUAAUUAUACAGUCCAGUUAAGUACAUUCAAAAGUCAUAAUUAGGCUACAAAUUCAGCAUUUAACUAACUACUGCUAUAUCCAGACAAACAUGGCUUCUAGGGACAAACGACUCUACAUCUUUAUUGCAUUUCUAUUUCAACACGACAUCACAUCAGAUUUGAGAUAGUGGAUCGGAUGAUUGGAAUAUAAGAAGAAGGAGGAGGAGGAGGAGGAGGAGGAGGAGGAGGAUGAGGAGUCAGCAGUAGGUCGCAGCAACACUGAACGAUUACGACUCGACAUCACCAUAAUAGUUUUAAAAAACCAGCAAUGAUCUACAACCAAACCCAAUUAACCCAGUAACAAACUUAAACAACAGUGAGAAAGUUUUAGAAACCAACAACAACUAUAAAUAUCCACAAUUAACCCAACUAAACUCGAAUUAACCCCAAAACUGGACCAAAAGUUCUCAGAAGGAACUUCAACAAAUUAAAAUCAGGCUAUAAGAUCAAAAGCAACUACUGAAAUUUAAAACUCAACCAAAACUUCAAUGAAACAGUACUUCUGUUGAUUUUUUAAUGCAUUUCUAUUUUGUUUUUGGAUUUUUUUUAAAAUUUAUUGUUAUUUUUUUUGGUUUUCUAUAUAGAACAAAAAGUUAGAAGGAAACUUUUGAACUUUCUGAAAUUCAAAAUUAGGAUCAGAUCUAUAGGACUUAUAGGGUGAAUUUGAUGGCUAAAAACUGAUACAUUAAGGCAGGGGGAAUACCUUUAUAUAAGUAGGAAAGGGAUUGGAAAGUUCUAGAACUCACUCCCCCCAGAUAAAACCUAAAAUUUCCUCCUCCUCCCUCACAUGUGACCUCCCCCAGCUUUAUCUUCUAUAUUCCCUCUAUUUUUUAUCCCCAAACUACCCUUUUAGAUCUUAAAAAUUACUAAACUGAAUCAACCUCUUCCACUCUGGUCUAUUAACCCUAACCUUCUAAACUAACCAUGGUUAAAUUAGUGUUUCUGAAAGUCGAACAGCUAAAACCAAACAAAUCCUAAGAGUUGAACUAACAAGGAUAUUUUUUUUGGUAAUUAAGUUGUUGCAUUAAUCACCAAAGGAAAUUCUUUACAUAGCUAUAGUCCAGCUACACACAACUGACUAUCACAAAAAGAGAGACGUAGCCAACAUCUAUUUACUAUGCCUCUAUUUCUAAUUACAGGGAGAAUGCUGGAGUUGCAGGCUAAACUUAAUAGNNNNNNNNNNNNNNNNNNNNNNNNNNNNNNNNNNNNNNNNNNNNNNNNNNNNNNNNNNNNNNNNNNNNNNNNNNNNNNNNNNNNNNNNNNNNNNNNNNNNNNNNNNNNNNNNNNNNNNNNNNNNNNNNNNCUAAGUGCCCAUAUGAACUUGACACAUUCCUAAACAACCUUGAGUUCCUCUCUAACCAGAUAUUAUAACACAUUUUUGCAAUGAUCAUUUUGAUACUAUGAGCUCGAGUAGUCCUCCCUUUAGCCAUGGUUAUGAUCCAUUGGAUGUAUUGAUCCCAGCUUUGAAAGUGCAAUAUUUCUAAGUAAGUGCCCAUAUGAACUUGACACAUUCCUAAACAACCUUGAGUUCCUCUCUAACCAGAUGUUAUAACACAUUUUUGCAAUGAUCAUUUUGAUACUAUGAGCUCGAGUAGUCCUCCCUUUAGCCAUGGUUAUGAUCCAUUGGAUGUAUUGAUCCCAAGUUUGAAAGCUAGGCUGAGUUACCCAAAUCCAAAUCAUUGUUUGAUGUCUCAGUUGUAUGGUGAAGGGACAGGAGAAGAAGAGGUGAUCCCUGGUCUCCAUGUCUUGCUGACAUAGUGUACAGGUGCUGUCCAAGUUUGGAUUCCACUGUCUCAAUCGAUCCUUGGUAGGUAACCUAUCCUGCAGAAUCAGCCAGAGNNNNNNNNNNNNNNNNNNNNNNNNNNNNNNNNNNNNNNNNNNNNNNNNNNNNNNNNNNNNNNNNNNNNNNNNNNNNNNNNNNNNNNNNNNNNNNNNNNNNNNNNNNNNNNNNNNNNNNNNNNNNNNNNNNNNNNNNNNNNNNNNNNNNNNNNNNNNNNNNNNNNNNNNNNNNNNNNNNNNNNNNNNNNNNNNNNNNNNNNNNNNNNNNNNNNNNNNNNNNNNNNNNNNNNNNNNNNNNNNNNNNNNNNNNNNNNNNNNNNNNNNNNNNNNNNNNNNNNNNNNNNNNNNNNNNNNNNNNNNNNNNNNNNNNNNNNNNNNNNNNNNNNNNNNNNNNNNNNNNNNNNNNNNNNNNNNNNNNNNNNNNNNNNNNNNNNNNNNNNNNNNNNNNNNNNNNNNNNNNNNNNNNNNNNNNNNNNNNNNNNNNNNNNNNNNNNNNNNNNNNNNNNNNNNNNNNNNNNNNNNNNNNNNNNNNNNNNNNNNNNNNNNNNNNNNNNNNNNNNNNNNNNNNNNNNNNNNNNNNNNNNNNNNNNNNNNNNNNNNNNNNNNNNNNNNNNNNNNNNNNNNNNNNNNNNNNNNNNNNNNNNNNNNNNNNNNNNNNNNNNNNNNNNNNNNNNNNNNNNNNNNNNNNNNNNNNNNNNNNNNNNNNNNNNNNNNNNNNNNNNNNNNNNNNNNNNNNNNNNNNNNNNNNNNNNNNNNNNNNUCACUAUAGUAAACAGAAAGGGAGAAAUUGGAUCACCCUGUCUCAAACCUUUGGCUGCUUGAAAAGGUUCUGUAGUUUCCCCAUUCACCAUGACUGUAGAGCUCACUGUUUGAACACAUUCCAUGAUCCAUCUGAUAAACCUGCUUGGGAAAUUUAAAGACUCCAUCACCUGCUGUAAGAAAACCCACUCAACAGAAUCAUAUGCCUUCUGUAAGUCUAUUUUAAUCAUGCAUCUAGGAGAUACAUGAGCCCUUGUAUAAUGUUUAAUCAGUUCAUGAGCUAGGAUAACAUUAUCAGCAAUCCUCCUUCCUGGAAUAAACCUUGCAUGUGUAUCACAGAUGAUACUAGCUAUGCAUUUCUGUAGUCUGUUGUCCAAAAUCUUGGAGAUGAUUUUAUACAAAACUGAACAGCAAGCAAUUGGUUGAAAUUCCUUGACUGAUUGUGGAUUAGCACCCUUGCAUAAUGUUUAAUCAGUUCAUGUGCUAGGAUAAUACUGUCAGCAAUCCUCCUACCAGGAAUAAAACCUUCCUGGGUAUCACAGAUGAUACUGGCUAUGCAUUUCUGUAAUAUAUUGGCCAAUAUCUUGGAGAUGAUUUUAUACAAAACUGAACAACAAGCUAUUGGUCGAAAUUCCUUGACUGAUUGUGGAUUAGCAACUUUAGGAAUCAAGGUGAGGGAGGCACAGUUAACUGGUUUAUACAUUCUACUGGUCAAGCUAUUGGUCGAAAUUCCUUGACUGAUUGUGGAUUAGCAACUUUAGGAAUCAAGGUGAGGGAGGCACAGUUAAUUGGUUUAUACAUUCUACUGGUCUGGAAGAAGUCCAUAACAGCCCUAGUGAUCUGAUUGCCAUUGAUACACCAUGUCUAUUUGAAAAAAGUAGCAUUGUAUCCAUCAAUACCUGGAGCUUUAUGAUCACCUAUGGCCUUUAAGCUGUCUACAAUUUCAUCCAAAGUAACAUCAGCAAUUAACUGUUGCAUCUGGUUGUGUGUGAGUUUAGGACUAUUGUCCAUAUAGGACCUGUUAAUUGCUGGUAAGGAGGCAGUUGAUGUUCCCAUCAAGGAUUUUUAAAAANNNNNNNNNNNNNNNAGGACCUGUUAAUUGCUGGUAAGGAGGCAGUUGAUGUUCCCAUCAAGGAUUUAUAAAAAUACUUGAUCUCAUCUCUGAUUGCAUCUGGAUUAGUAAUUUUUGUACCUCCUGAUGUAACCAAUUCUGUCAUACUUUUGUACUGGUUUCUUUCUUUCAGUAGAGCAUUAAAAAAUUUAUUAUUUGAGUCUCCAAAGUGAAUCCAUCUGGCUCUGGAUUUCUGUUGAAGUAAACUAACAACACUAAUCAUUCAAUUGAAAUCAAACAAAAAGAAAAUCCGAGCAUAACAGAAUUAACGAAACAUCAAAACAUAACGGAAUAAACUAAAAAAACAAGACUGAAUUAAUCACAACCCCUGGCGAAUCCUAAAUCGAUACUAAUUAUUAUAUUAAUCGAUUCGACCUUAAUAAUACUUCAUAUAAGAGAACAAAGCAACAAAAAAACAAAACAAUGGAGGGAAGGGCAGUGUAGUGAUGGAACGUAACAGAGAAGAACAACGAAAACAAAAACGGAAAUAGGGCAAAGAAAAGAAUGGCUGGUCUGAAUGAACUCUGACGUCUUCAAUUUGAGUCGAAACAAAUAUUAACCGGGUGUUCUCAACAAAAGCACAUGGCUAAUACUCGUUUCGAGCACUAUCGCUCAAAGGAAGCUGACAAAUUUGGCGAAUUUCUUCUUCUUCGCUCUCAAACUGGAGCGGACUGAUUUGGCGAGGUCUUGGGCAAAAAUGAUGAUGGAUUAGGGUUGAGGGAAGGAUGAUGGUUUUAUGGCCGAGAUUUGGGUGAUGGCUUGAGUUCCAUUGCCGGUAACAAUGGUGGACUUUAUGGCUGCUAGGGUUUCACUGAAUGAACAAGAAGAGAGAAAGAAGGGGGGUGUUUGGUUUGGUCUUAGGUUUAUGAGACUAUAUUAGGACAUUAUUAUUUAGGUGGAAGAAAGGGCUGGGGUUGUUGGAUGAAAAGAAAAUGAAAGGCUUGGAUUGAUCUAGACCAAAACGAUGUCGUUUGGCGGGGGAAGCGGACUAGACCGGGUGGGGGUUACUUUGGGCCUGGGGCAGGUAAUUUUUUGAAGGGAAUAUUUGGGCUAUGAAUUAAUUUUGUCCCAAUUUUGGGUGUUUCUUAAGACAACCUCAUUUUAAUUGCUUUCUUUUUGCUUUUCUCUUUUAUUUCUCUAUUUACUUUGUUUUUAUUUUGUAUUUUUUAUUUUUCUAAUUUUAUAAAAAUGCUAAAAUAAAAUUAAAGACCUAAUAUAUUUCCAAGUUAAGCUAAUUAAUUCCUAAAAUUGUUUAAAUCCAAUUUAAAAAUAAACUCAUGACAAAUUCUAACAAUUAACAAUUAAAAAUGUAAAAAUGGACUUUUUUUGUUAUUUUCUUUGUAUUUUGUUCUAAAAAUAACUUAACCGCUAAUUAAUCCUAAAAUAUGAAAUUAAAUCCUCAAUGCAGAUGUCAAGUGUAUUUUUUUAUAUUUUUUUCAUAUGAGUUAAAAUGCACAAAUAAUAUACAAACCAUUAACAGAAAAUAACACAGAAUUCACAAAAUUGUAAAAUAAUGAAAGAAAUUAUUUUGUUCGAAUUUUUGGGAAUAAUUCACAUAUAGGGAAAAAAAUCACAUGCUUACACCUUAGACUUCUCCAUUCCACCAUUAAUCCUUUUUAUGACUUAUAGAGUAAUCCUUCGUGACCAUUAAGAGCUCUGUAGUAGCCACCCCAAUGCAGUUCCUUGUCAUUGCCCACAUAGUAGUCGAGUCCCCCUUACUCCUCCAGGCCCUCAAAGCCAUCAACCUCUCCCCAACUCCCUAGCUUUGUCCAUAGUCAAGUUAUCCCACUUGAUCUUAGGUUUCCCACAUACCACUAUUUUCUUCCUGCACCUCUUGAUCUUGCAAGAUGAAACAUGAGGUGCUCACUCGAGAUGACCUUACAAUCAAUGCAUCGACCUAUAUCGUACUUUUUGCAAAGAAGGUAAUCAAUGUGGGUCUUGGCCGCCGAACUCCAGAAGGUAACAAGGUGCUCCUCCCUAUUCGGAAAACUCGAGUUAGUUAUCACCAAAUCAAAAGCUCUAGCGAAAUCUUACAGUGAGGUACCUUCCUCGUUCCUAUCCCCAAAAGCAAACACGCUACGUACAUCAUUAUAACCCAUAGCCUUAUCCCCAACAUGGCCAUUGAAAUCCCCUAUCUCGUUGACAGGAUACUUCUCACAACUUCGUCCAAAUCCUCCCAAAAUUGCCUCUUGACCUUAUGGUCUAAGCCUACAUGUGUAAGCAUUAGUAACACUUACCGUAAACCCUCCAAUUACAAGCUUAAUAAAAAUUAACCUAUCAUUUAUCCUCCUAAUCCCCACAAUAGUUCCCUGAGGUCCCUGUCUACUAAAAUUUCUACCAUGUUCUGUUGGAUAUAUAUAAUUAAUAAUUUUUUGGUGGUCAAAUAUAAUAAAUGAUAUUCUAUAGAUAAAUAGAAAUUUUAUUUUGGUACAUUUCCAUAAAGUUUCCCACUUUCUACUCUCAUGUUUAUCCAUGAUGACACCAAACAAAAAGAAAAAAGAAGAAAAAAAAAGAACAAAGAAAGAAAAAUUGAGGAACUACGAAACUGGACCGACCUAGUUAGUCUGGGGCAAAAUUCAAAAAUAGCCAAAUUUAUGAGUGGUGAUUCAAACAUAACCACAAUUUCAAAAGUAAUCGAAGUUUAGCUACUUUUCAUGUAAUGAUAAAUCUAAACGAAAACACUGUUCAAAAUACUGGAACUCCAAUAUAAUAUACUGGAGUUCUAGCAUACAUAAUAUACUGGAGUUCCAACAUAAACAUAUUGGAGUUCCAGUAUAAUAUACCGGUCCAGCAUAAUAUGGUGGAAGUUCCUAUACAUGUGCUCCAAUCUCCAGUGUAUUAUGCUGGAAUUUUAUCAUGUUGGAGUUCCACCAUAAUAUGCGUCUUCACAGGUGCAUCGAUCUCCAGUAUAUUAUUCUGGAAUUUUUCAUGUUGCAGCAAAAUGGUGGCUAUUUUUUAAUGACUUUGCAAAUGCUGGCUAUUUUUGAAUGACCAGUAUGAAAACAGGCUAGCCCGUCCUAUUUUUAUAGUUGGAUCGGAUUGUUAUAGUUAAACGUCAAAAUAGCAUGGCAUAGCCAGUUUUCGCACUGGUCAAUCAAAAAUAGCCAGCGUUUACCAAGUCAAUGAAAAAUAGCCACUAUUUUGCUACAACAGAGAUUGGUCCCGUAUAAUAUACGGGAGUUCUGGUGCAUUUGUGUACGAACUCCAGUAUAUUAUGCUGGACCAGUAUAAUUUGCUAACUCCUGUAUGAUAUACGGGAGACUGGAGUACCAAUACUCCAAACUCUAGUAUAUUAUACUAGACAUUUAUACUUGAUGGAACUCCCGUAUAUUAUGCAGGAGUUCCAGCAUAAUUAUACUUGAACUCCGACAUAUUAUACGGGAGUACGGGAGUUCCAACAUAGUUAUCCUGGAACUUCCAUAUAAUAUGUGGGAAUUCAAGCGUUCUUAUGCUAGAACUCCGGUAUAAUAUGAGAGUGUAUUUUCUGGAUUUUGAACACUGUUUUUGCUCAAAUUUAUCUUUACAUAAAAAGUGGCUAGAUUUCUAUGACUUUUGAAACUUGGCUAUUUUUCAACGACCAGUUGUAAAUAUGGUUAUUUGUAAAUUCCUCGUUAAAAUAUCAUUGUAUAGCCAGCUUUAACACGGGUUAAUCAAAAAUAGCCAGCGUUUACCAAAUCAAUAAAAAAUAGCCAUUAUUUUGCUGAAACAGGGACCGAUCCAGUAUAAUAUACGGGAGUUCUGGUACAUUUGUGUAAGAACUCCAGCAUAUUAUGCUGGACCGGUAUACUUUGCUAACUCCUGUAAAAUUUUCGGGAGACUGGAGCACCAGUGCUCCAAACUCCAGUAUAUUAUACUGGACAACUGGACCGGUAUACUUUGCUAACUCCUGUAAAAUUUUCGGGAGACUGGGGAACCAGUGCUCCACACUUCAGUAUAUUAUACUGGACAUUUAUACUUGCUGGAACUUCUGUAAAAUAUACGGGAGUUCCAACAUAAAUGUGCUUGAACUCCCAUAAAAAUUGCGGGAGUUCCAGCAUAGUUAUCCUGGAACUCCUGUAAAAUUUGCGGGAGUUCGAGCAUACUUAUGCUAUAACUCCAGUAAAAUUUGCGGGUGUAUUUUUUGGAUUUUGAAUAGUGUUUUCGCUCAAAUUUAUCCUUACAUAAAAAUAAUUAAAUUUCGUUUACUUUUGAAACUUGACUAUUUUUCAAAGACUAGUAGUAAAUCUAGCUACUUUUAAAUUUGAGAUUUUUACCUAUCUAUACCAUAUAGCAAACCUUAUUACCUCCCAUGUUUAAGGUGUGUGUUUAUUACAUUUAAGCAUACCAAAUUUCAAUUUAUGUACCAUAAUUCAAAUUAAGGGUAUAAUUAUUGCUUCAUUUAAUCUAGGCAUGAUUUUAGGAACAUAUUUUCACUUUAUUUUAUUUACCUGUCUCUCUCUCCUCUCAUCUCCAACCCUACGAUUUUUCAACUAAUUUAAAUUCAGGAGGCCUGAGAAAAUAUCGAUGAAGGUAACUUUGCAUGACCCCACCUUGAUUUAUAUACAGUAUAUAUGACAAUUCGUACUGCUUCCAAACAAGAAGAGUCAAAUAUUAUACUGCUAACCUUUUAAUCUUUGUUUCGGGGUGUUUGGACCACUUUCAAAGUCCAGUUGUAUAACCCGUUCUUAGUGCCCGUUGUGUAAACAGUCUACAGUGUGAGUGUAAUUGUAGUUUAUUUGUAGUUUUUUGCAGAAAAUUUGUAGACGAAGAGCAAAUUUUGUUGUCAACACUUUUUUUGACACAAGAUUGGAGUUUAAUUGUAGUAUAAAUGUAACAAUACAACUUUAUACAAUACUUAAACUGAUUUGUAGUUUUUUUUUUUUGACACAAGAUUGCAGUUUAAUUGUAGUAUAAAUGUAACAAUACAACUUUAUAUAAUAUUUAAACUGAUUUGUAGUUUAUUUUUAGAAAUUGUAUCUACAAACUGAAAAUAUUGAAUUUUAAUAUCUCAAUUCUCAUUUCAAUUGUAGUAUAAUUGGCAUUUUCGAUAUAAUUGUAGAAGAAUUGUAGAAGUUUUAGUCUUUCCAAUCUACAAUUUAUCUACAAUUCUAUAAUUUAUCUACAAUUUAAUACAAUUAUGGAAAUAUGUCUUCUUCUUCUUCCACGAGUUUCAAUCUGAAAUCCAGUCAAAACCAAGUCUAAUCUUCAUCAAAACCCCUCAAAAUUUAGAUAUAAACUCCUAAACAUAUUCCAAACUAUUUACAACAACAACCAAUCCAAACAAAUGAUGAUUUUUGAAAAUUCAAAUUUGAAUUCAAAGCUUUCAAGCUUUUUAAUGGCUAUCAAUGGUGGAAAAUACAUGGAGAAUGAGACAAUCACGCUGCAAUGGAUUUGCUUCCAUUUUAAAUCUCGAAAUUAAUGGUGAUAGAAUCACUAUUAAAUCUGAUUCCUUCUAUUUUGGCGCGUUUUUAGGGUAGAAUUUACCUAUUUUUGGUUUGGUACAGAUUUUUGGUGUGUUUUUACGGUGGAAUUCAUCUAUUUUUGGUUUGGUAUAGAUUUUGUAGACAAACUAUACACUACACGAGCAAAUACAAUAUUAUGAACAUUUUUAGUAAUAAGAUUUGUUAUAUGGCAUAGAUAGGUAAAAAUCUCAAUAAAUUUCUCCCAAAUUUCUCCCCGGUUAAACCCGUUGGCCCAUAUCCACCGAUCAUUCAAAUAUCUAAUUCUAACCCGUACCCCUCCAAAAGGUAACUCCACAAAAAGAGAAAAAAUAGUAGAAAAAUAUAAAGCUGUAAAUUCAAGAGAGGAAAGAGGCAGAGGAGAAUUCGUGGGAACUAAUUUUGCCUCUUUGGGUAAUGAGAGUUGAUUGUACCCCUGCUUCAAAGCGUCAGAGAUUCAGAGCCGUUGAUCCAAUGGAGUUGGAAUCAGCUAAAGUAAUCCUUUCAAUCUCUAUCUUCUACUGUUAUUUCAAUUUCUGUGUUUUACCAUAUGUGAGAUUGGACUUCUUGUUUGAACCAAGCUUGCCCAACCCUGAUUAAUUUCAUGGUGGGUUAAGAGAUGCCUUUUCUUGAUUGCUUACAAAGAUUUUUCUUCUUAAUAAAAUCUUUUAAAAGAAGUUUGUAUUAAAGACCUACUCCAGUUGAAGCAAUAUUUCUGUUAAAAAUCUAAUCUUAAAAGGGUGCCAGAUGUAUCUGUUGUAGUUAGCUUAUUUGGACUUUUUUUUUUUAUAACAGUGAUGCUUCUUGUUCAUCUUUGAACCAAUUUACAGUCAUUCCAUUGUUUUAGAGUUGCUUCAAAUUGAGAAGUGUAGAUGGAACUUAGUAGAUCAGUAAAUGCAAUUUGUAUGAUCUUUUGACGCUCUCUUUAUGUGUGCACGAAUCAUUAUUGCAUGCUAUUUUAUUUAUAGUUUUUAUGUUUUUUAUUUUUAGGUUUUUAUGUUUAGANNNNNNNNNNNNNNNNNNNNNNNNNNNNNNNNNNNNNNNNNNNNNNNNNNNNNNNNNNNNNNNNNNNNNNNNNNNNNNNNNNNNNNNNNNNNNNNNNNNNNNNNNNNNNNNNNNNNNNNNNNNNNNNNNNNNNNNNNNNNNNNNNNNNNNNNNAGGGUCGAUUGGAAANNNNNNNNNNNNNNNNNNNNNNNNNNNNNNNNNNNNNNNNNNNNNNNNNNNNNNNNNNNNNNNNNNNNNNNNNNNNNNNNNNNNNNNNNNNNNNNNNNNNNNNNNNNNNNNNNNNNNNNNNNNNNNNNNNNNCAGCCUCUCUGCCCUUUCGGGUAGGGGUAAGGCCCGUCUACAUAUUACCCUCCCCAGACCCCACUUUGUGGGACUAUACUGAGUAGUUGUUGUUGUUGUGGUUGUUGUAAUAUUAGCAUGAGAUCAGCUAAAUGACAUGGCCAGUGAGGAUUUAUAUGGCCGGCCACAAUUUUUAGUUGGGAUUGAGGUGGUUUUGUUGUAGUAACCUGUAUCUCAGGCUUCCCUUUUUGAUUUUGCCGUGCUUAGUUCUUAAUCCCGCGCUUUGCUCUUAUUACUUGGAGAGUUGCUACCGUUACAUGAUUACAUCUUGAACAGAUUCAUGCAGAUCUUCAAUUUGGUACUUGCAUAGGGUCUGGAGCAUAGUUUUGAGUAGAAUUUCUGUAAUUAUUGUAUUAUAACAAAAGAAUAAGGUGAUAGUUUCAUCCUGGGAAAUAUUCGUGGACUUCAAUAACCGAAAGCACCCAAAACGAGCUUAAAAGAAGGGCUUAUAGACUAAGCAAAUGAUUUGACUCCUUAAGGGAACGGAGACUGCAGAGGUGUGUGUAGGCCAUAAAACAGUUAAGAUACUGGCUUCAGGCAUUUGUAAUAGCUCGAUUUGUAGCUAGCAGGAAAACAAAUUAUUUUUUUUUAAAAAAGCACACUGCUCAGGGUGAAGUGCAUGGAUCAGCACUUAUUUAAAAUUAUUGAACUUACAGAAUUACUGUCGACAAUGAAACACAGUGAAAUUUAACUUCCGCUGUAAAGGUAAAGAAUAUUAAACAAAUCAUGUACAAAAAGCUUCCGAAAUCGGUUCUAGUGUCUGGUAAGUAAAAUUAUUCUCCUUGUGUAGGUUCUUUUGGCUUUACUUCAGUUACUCUCUCUGAAGCUAAAUCUGAGGAAACCUUUGUCUGUUAAUCCAGCACGGAAAUACUCUUUUCAGGUAAUGGAUUGUAACUAUUCUGUUUUACUGGGUAAAUUCAGGUGAAGCUUGCAGCCGCAAAAGAAAAGUUUGGACGUGAAAUCCGUGUGUUUGAAAUAUCAACUGCUUCUUCAACGCCUUCUGAAGUUUCCAGCACUGGUACUUCCUGCUUGAUAUACACAGCAUUAUUAAUACAACUUCCUAAACAUGAUUUUAUUGUCUAUUUUUCAUAUAUGCUCAUUUUAUUUUGUUGUGACCCUUUCUAACCGUCUUGUGCAGUGUCAGAGGAGCCAGAAGACUUCUAUGAGUUCACACCAGAGGAUUAUUAUCGACUUUUGGCAACAAAAAAAGAAGGUAAGAUACUCGGAUUAAAAACGGCUUUAAGUAUUUGCUAAUUUGCGAUUCCUAGUUGACCUCCAAUAGAAAAAGAAAGAAAAUUGUCAAUUUAGUAUUCUGUGGAGUUAAUUGACAAAUUACGCUAAAACUCCAAACAUUUUAUAAUUAUUCUUACUUUUUUUUAGUAUACUCACUGUUAUUUCCAAAUCUUUACCUUCUUCAAUGGUUGUUUCCGUUCCCUCUGGCUAUUCUUGUCAUCUUGUUUAUUUACUAUACGUCUGCGGAAAAGUAUAUAGGUGUUUGGUUAUUUUUUGUUGCUACUCAUUCUAAGUGCUGUGAUGAAAUUUUCGACAGAUAAGCAUUUGAAGACAAAGAAACUUCGCGAGGCAGAACAAGCUGCACGCAGAGCAAGGAUAACUAAGGUUUUCAGAUCCUUCUCUCCAGAUGAUCUUUCAACUUGUGUCAAAUAUGCAUAUUUUUUGGUGUUAGUCUUUUGUUAAAGUAAGUUUUCAUCAGUAUCCAUAAAGGCACGACUGAACUCUGAAUCUAGGUGCAGCUGAGGCUGAACGCUUCAUCUUGCUUAGGCAGUUAUUUAGUGCCUACAUAAGGCUCUAAGGCCUCACUUGUGUCAAGUAUGCAUAUUUUUUGGUGUUAGUCUUUUAGUAAAGUAAGUUUUCAUCAGUAUUCGUAAAGGCCCGACUGAACUCUGAAACUAGGUGCAGCUGAGGCUGAACGCUUCAUCUUGCUUAGGCAGUUCUUUAGUGCCUAAAUAACGCUCUAAGGCAUGUGCCUCAUUGUUGGCUCUAUCUUGAAGGGGCGGGGAUAAACAAUUAAUAAGCUGGAAAAUGAUAUACUAAAAAAUGUUAUGAAUGAAUAUGCCAGCGAUUAGGAAGAAGAAAUUAAAAGUUUUGCUUAAGAAAACUAGUCAGAAAGAUUUAAUUAAAGCUUAAAACUGCAUUUUACAUUUGGAUUAGAAGUUUAAAAUGAUUUUUGAACUUAGCUGACAUGAUUUUGUAUUCAUAUGUUUCACUUAAUUACAGAAUUUUUUUUCUUCAAAUUUCUUUGUACAUGCAACUUCUUUGCCCUUGUAUUGAUUUUUCUUCAUCAUUCAUAUGUCUUUUUUUUAGUUUUCUUUCUUUAUUUGCACUUUUCUUUUGGGGGCAUUGACAUUGCGCUUAAAGUCACAGGGGACCUUACACUUUUCUACGCCUUUGCAUUUGACAUUGUUAGUUUUCAUAUCACAUGUUGGUCUAUGUUGUUCAGGCUUUAAUCAGAGUACGGUUUCCGGAUAAUUAUACAUUGGAGGCCACAUUUCAUCCAUCAGAGACAAUCCAAAGCUUACUUGACCUUCUUAUGAAAGUGAUUGCUCACCCUGAGCUUCCUUUCUAUCUCUGUAAGAACAUACUAAACAGUUGAUACAUUCUACUGUUCCUAUAUUUUGUUAUAAUAGCCUUACUGAAGAUGGAUUUUUGUUUAUAAUUUCAGAUACUACUCCUCCUAAGAAGCAAAUAAAAGAUGUAUCUCAGGAUUUCUAUUCUGCUGGAUUUAUUCCUGGUGCUAUUGUCUAUUUCUCUUACGAUCUACCCAAAGGUUAGCGCAAACUAUUCAUUGAAUCCUCUGCUCUUUUGUAACUUUAGUUCUUUGAAAACCUCUAUUAUAUGUUCGGACAUAGAACCUGCAACAACUUGCAUACUUAAUAUACUUCAGUGGUGAUUUAAUGAUGUUUAAUGUUUUCGGUAAUCCUUCUAAGGAAACAUUGCAACGGGGAGGUGUGAGGAACUAAAGUUCCUUUAACUUUAAGAGAAUCUGUCUCCUUGAGCAAUCAUGACGAGUACAAUUUUUCUUUGAGAAGAAAAUUAUGGCGAAUUCACUUCUGCUUAGUCCUUGUCCUUUUGGAGGGAAGGUUUAUAUUUGUUAAUCAAUAACCUGCUAAGCCGUCUCUUUUGAUCAUUGGAAAGCGAUUAAUUUUUAAGAAUAGCUAUCAUCACCCAGCUUCCUGAGCUCUUUAUAGGAGAUCUUAUGUAAAUCCUCGGCUGUAAUAUCGUUAGCAGGAUCCUCUUAAUGCUGGUUUUCAUCAAUAAGAGUUGUACUUACAAAAUAAAAAUUAAAAAAACCAAGGUCUCCAUCACCCAUCUCUCUAAAUGCUCAUAUACACACUCUUUUCACCUGCUUAUUUACGUAAUUUCUUAUCUUAUUUAUGAUUGGUAAGACACCUAAGCGGGUAUAUGUACUCAAUAUUUGGUUUACUCAUGCGUCAACAGGCACUUACCGUGCCAGAUCGUGGCUGUCCAUUUGGCAAUGGGAGGCUAGAGAUUGCUGAGUGCUCGCAUUGAUUUGAGAUCAAGCAAACAAUUCUUUGAGAGAGAAGCAAAAGGAGUUCCUCUCAACACUCUAUCUCUCUUUGAGCUUCCCUUGUGGCUUUAGGUUUUUAGCAUUCUUUCUUAUUUCCAAACACUUCUUGUGCGCACAAUAAGUACACAUGGUAGCUAUGCAUGAUCAAGCUACGUAAGGAUUAAGUGCAAUAGCUAGUUCGAUGAUGGCAACAUUUUUUUAGUAAUGCUGAAUUUGGUCUCUGCCAAGAGGACAGUUUUGGAGAAGCGAGCAUUGGAAAGUAUACAAGAAUGUGACACAUGGCUCUACAAUGACACUUCAAUUAGAUUCUUUUUUCAGAUUAUGGAGGGGAUUCUCUUUUUGCCAAAAUGGAACUUUUUUGGCUGAUUUUGGUACAAGGGAUAAUGAAACAGGAGAGCUUGUUGAUCAGCAAUGUGGUAGGUGGGAAUUGCUAGAGGUAGAAGAUUUUAGAUUGGGUGACAGUUAGGAUUAUCUUCUCUCUUUCUUCUCCUUUCUCUGGGGCUGGGGGUGGAGGUUUGCUAUAUGUCGCAUGGCUAAGAUUUGUUCUUCCAUAUUGAUGCUCUUGGGAAACUCUAGAAUCAAAGGUUCAAGUGUAAUUAGUAAAUUUUUGGCAUUUCUUUUCUCCAAUAUGUCUUAAUCCACAGAGAGGGACAGCAUGGUUUUAAAUAACCUGGGCACAUCAUAUAUUCAGUAGAGGUACAUGUAAAAGCAUUCAUGUCUACAUUCAGUUUUUACAUAUUUUAAUUUUGAAGGAUCUGCACAAAAGUACCCAUACCGACCUUAUCCUGUCAGAUAUUUUAGUACGUCAAGACAAAUGAGAAGUCCAUGUAAUGUGAAUCCAUUCUCAAUAUCGACUGCUGGUUGUUUGUCUUCUGUUUCGUUUGAUAUAUAUUGCCAGUUCUAAUGAAUCUUCUGCUGACGUCUUUUGUGUUAUAAUUAGAGUUUUGUUUGUUCACAUGCGCCCUCACCUCUCUCUUAAGAUUAUUUUUAUGGCUCAUCUUAUUCUCAGGUGAUGAUGGUGCUGCAACAUCGGGACCUUACCUUCAAGAAGAGGUCAUGUCUUUGCAAGGAUUGGAUUCUAUGAUAGAGACGGAGUCUGGUGAACCGAGCAGAGUUGAACCUCCCAAAACCAACCCCCCUGCUUCAGUGCCAGAUCAGAAGCCUGCUGAUAAGAAGAAAAUUAAGCCAAAGUGGUUGAAACUGUGAUACCGUUGAUUUCAGGGUUAUGCUAUAGUCUACUCUAUUCCGUGUUAUUUGUAAUCGUUGCUGGUUCUGUGAUCAGUUUGUCAGUAGAAGCGAAAACAUAUGUACAUGGUGCUCUUUGCUUCAACUGGAUAGUAACUUUCUGGAGUUGUAGGCCACAAGAGGAGGUUGGAAUUUGAAAAUAUGUUCCUCAUCUAAAUAAUGGUUUCCCUUAAUCCUUGAUUCAAUUGGCAUAUAGGUUGCACUUUUAGAUAUUUCUUUACUUUACCUGUCAAUAUAUUCUCAAUUAUCGAAAAUGAUAGAACAUGGCAUUUGAUUUGGCUUUUAAGAUGGGUUAACCUCCCAGGCACUAUAUUUAACCUUAAAAGAUAAAAGAAGAUUUUCAAAGCCAUUACAUUACACACAGAUAUGCAUUAAGUCAAGUUUAGCAGAAACGGUUAGUGCAGACCUUUAACAGCUUGUUUGGAUGGUCGUGUUACAUAUUUCAUAAUGUAUCGUAUUGUACUAUAUCGUUUGAUGAAUAUAAUAUCUGGAUGUGUUUGCCGUUGUUUCAUGGUAUCGCGCAUAAGUAAUAUGAUGAAUAAAUUUGCAAUAUUAUAAAGAAAGAUUAUGAAAGGUAGGGUACAUUUCAUCCUUACGUAAUGACGGAUUUAACACUACAAUACAAUAAAAUAUAAGUAAUAAUUAAAACAAAUAUUAUAUUUAAAGUAACAAUACGAUACAAUAUAAUAAGUACGACCAUCCAAACAAGCUGUAAGUGGCAACCACGGGAUUUCCUUGUUUUCUAGGCGCAAACUGCUUUGUAAACUGGCUAAUAGCCUCAAGUCUUUUAAUUUUUUUUCUUCUGUCUGGAUUUUUUUCUUGUACAAAGAAUGCUACCAUUUUUGUUGUAUUAUUGUAAUUCAAAUAUUUUACAUAAGGUUUUCAUUAGUAUUACUAUUGGUGUCAUCAAUGAUUUGUUAAUCCGAUGAAGCUUCGAUCUUUCUCUAAGUCCUUUGAUAUUACCAUUGUUGGAAUUCUGUUGGUUAAAUCUCCACCAUUGUUUUCCUCCUUGCUUUGUUUAUUAUCGUUCUUAAUUGUAGUGUUCCUAUAGUCAAAGUGGCACAUUUAGAAUUUUAAAGUUAUGAGUACUCGCCGAUAAAAACUUCAAAAGAAAAGUAAAAAUAAAUUUACUUUUGGAUGGUCACUCUAUAUUUAUCUAAAUAUUUUUAUAAUUGCUUAUAUAAAUUUACUAAAUACGAUCAAAGUUAAUGGGUGCUUACCCAAGUGGAUCCGCCACUCUAUAGACUGCACAACACACAAUAUUGUUCCAACUACAAACAAGGUAUUAAUUGCAUACAUAGAAUUAUAUUGAACAUGUUUAGGAAUUAGAUCGAGGUGUUAUAAAUAGAAUUCUAUUUAUGGUGAAUGUCUAUAUUUAGAGAGAUUCUAGGAUUUAUUACUUGGUGACUAAGUCAAUAUUUCCCUAUAAAUAGAGGGUUCUAUUCCAUUGUAAUUCAUCCCAUAUCAAUAAGAAUUCUCUCUCUCUACUUUGCUCUGUAAUACUCUUCUUCUUUUAUUAUUUCAUAACACGUUAUCAGCACGAGACUCUAACCAAUUGAGUAGAAGCUUUGGAAUUGAGCAUAACGAUUAUCAAUUAUUCAAUGAACUUCCUUUAAGAUUACAUUCUGGAUUUAAGGUAAGUAUUUUACUUUUCUCUUUCAAAUUCUUGUAAUUCUAUAAUUUGANNNNNNNNNNNNNNNNNNNNNNNNNNNNNNNNNNNNNNNNNNNNNNNNNNNNNNNNNNNNNNNNNNNNNNNNNNNNNNNNNNNNNNNNNNNNNNNNNNNNNNNNNNNNNNNNNNNNNNNNNNNNNNNNNNNNNNNNNNNNNNNNNNNNNNNNNNNNNNNNNNNNNNNNNNNNNNNNNNNNNNNNNNNNNNNNNNNNNNNNNNNNNNNNNNNNNNNNNNNNNNNNNNNNNNNNNNNNNNNNNNNNNNNNNNNNNNNNNNNNNNAGGACAACAAUAAUGCAAGAAACAUAUCUUGCAUAUAAUUUUGACCAUGACCAUAAUGGUAUAACUUUCUCUUUAAAAGAGAUAUUCACCAUAUUGAUGUCAUGAAUAUGUGGUAGUACCAAAUUAAUUGAGAACUCUAAAAGAGCCAAUUAUACUAUUUUGGAGAAACACAAUUGAAUAUCAAUAAGGUAUUGUGUUGUAGUAAGUCUCAAAGAAACUUAUUCAGUUUCCAAAGUAUACGUGAAAACACAAUUGAUUACCAAUAAGGUAUUGUGUUGUAGUAAGUCUCAAAGAAACUUAUUUAGUUUCCAAAGUAUAUGCAAAAGCGGUUGAUUAUAUUAAGACAAUAAAUAAAGGAAAGAUUUGAUAUCUUCUAUUACUACAACUUGUAGCGGGAUAAUCUGUAUGUGAAAAGCUACCCACUUUAUUGUCUAGUUUGUAGUACACAAACAAAAUAAUGCCAGAAUAAAAUGGAUGUUUAUUGAUAUAAAAACUCAUAUCAUAAUAAACAUGGAGUUUAUUGAUAAUUGCACAUGUCAUGGUGUAAACCUGCAAUUAUCAAUAUUGAUAAUUUAUUCAGCUGGCAUAAUCAGUGUAGCCAUAUCAAUUUAAGUAUGAUGUGCAAAAAUAAUAGAGAAUUCACAUGGGUAAAUAUUAACGAACUAGAAAAUUCUUUACGAAUUCUCUUAUAGUGCUUAUUCUCAUUAAUUAAUUGAUCAACUAAAGUUGUGAUUGAAUCCCAUGAAUUCUGAAAAUAUUAAAGGUGAAUAUAGGCCCAUUCACCUACCGUGUAUACCACAUAAGAUGCAUUUAUGAGAUGGUUACAUGUCCGAUUAUUAUUAACGCACAACUUGGUGUUUGCGAGGUAAUUUGCUCAGUAAUUUAACUUAGAGCAUAAUUUCCAGUUUUUCUGUCCAAGAUAGUUUAUUUUGAUAAGUUGGUUUACGUCACAGCUGGUUUAGCAAAAUAAUUUAUUGAGCGCCUCCACUUAAUAGCUAAACUAUUGCUUAUGAGAACAAAGUUAUCUAUAUCAGUUUAAUAUACGUUAUAUACCAAAGUAUAUUAUUUUCUCCCCUCACGAGUGGUUCUAGGUCAGGAACCUAAUAAUUCCAUAGUAUUAUUAUUAAUGUGCAGUGUAUAUUGAUUAAUACCAUAACGCACAAAGAUGGAUUCUCAAAGUUGAGGAAAUAAGUUAGUUUUUCUAACAUGAGGGGGAGACAUGAUAAACCGUUGAGAAAAAGUUACGCGGAAUGAAUUAUCAUUUGUAUAUCUAGAACCUCGAUUACGAUAAUAUGAAGAAGUUCAUAAAAAGAUAAUUUGUUUGUAAUAUAUUGCAAAGCAUGCCAUAUGCAUUUGUUGACCCAAAGAAAGUAACUAUAUUCUCACUGGAAAUGUUCAUAUUAAGUCCAAGAAAGACAAAGUCUAUGGUACGUUUAAAGCGUAUAGACAAAUUGGUUUCAAAUAAACUUAUUGAUAAAUAAGAUGAGCAAAUGAUCAAAGUGAUCAUAAUAAAGAUGCAACUGAUCUAGAAGAUCACAUGUUAUAACACUUCAUAAAAUCUCAUGAGAGAUUCAGGUACCUUAAUAUAUGAAUGAAGAGAUCUCUAUGUUAUGUCUUUAUGAAAACAAUAUUGAAACCGAUAUAAAAUGUUCUUGACGACAUCUAUCAUAGCGCUAAGUAUAGAUAAGGAUCUUAAGACUGUCGAGACAGACACAAAAUAUUGACCAAAUAGACACUACACAAUUCAAAUAGAAUUUGUUUAAUAUGAAAGACAUGUAGUUUUGGACAUGUAGUUCAAACAAUUAAAAGUAUAAAGCCAAUGGUAUGUACAAUCAGUUUUCGAUAUCUUAUUUGUCUAACAUGACAUGAAAACUUGAUGUGCAUCUAAAGUCUAUUAUAUGUCUUAUAUGACUUAACUUAUAUGUCAAUCCAUGAAAGAUUUCAAUUGCUUGAAGCAUAUACAGUUCUUGAUCUUGAAGUAUCGCUUCCUCGGUGCAAUAUGUGAACAAAUGUAUCUUGGUAUAACUAUAAGCAUGAUAAUGUGAUAGUGAGGAUAUCUCUAUGGAGAUAUUGAAGAGUCAUUCCACGAUAUUUGUGAAGGCAUUAUGUAUCUAUCACGAGUGAUGAUUUCAAGGUGCAAAUUUUCAUUCAAGUUAAUAUGACUUAUUUGUUUAUCAAAUCUCUAUCAAAGAUCGUUUUGAAGAUGGUUCACAAGAUUGGAAUGCAAAUGCUUAAAGAUGUGAAUUGAUGCUAUCUUCAAGGGGAGUUAAUACGCGUUGCACUUCUUUUUCCUUAAAAGGUUUUGUCCCAAUGGGUUUUCCUUGCAAGUUUUUUAACCAGGCAACCAAAAGGCGUAUUAUUAGAUAUGUGUACUCUUUUUUCCUUCUUUAGAUUUUUUUCCCAUUGGGUUUUAUUUAGUUAAGGUUUUAACGAGGCAUAUUAUCUAUUGAAUAGACAUUCAGGUGGAGCGUUAUAAAUAGAAUUCUAUUUAUGGUGAAUGUCAAUAUUUAGAGAAAUUCUAGGGUUUAUUACUUGGUGGCUAAGUCAAUCUUUCCCUAUAAAUAGAGGGUUCUAUUCCAUUAUUAUUCAUCCCAUGUCAAUAAGAAUUCUCUCUCUCUACUUUUCUCUGCAAUACUCUUCUUCUUAUUUUAUUAUUUCAUAACACGAGGUAAAGUUUAAUUCAAAGUAACUUUUUGUUCCCCAAAGCUUUAUGAUUUAGAUUACGAAAACACAAACAAAUUCACUAAUUUGAAACUAAUUUAAUAUAACUCUACAUUGGUGAAUCUUUUUUCCCCGUUCACGCUCACUUGUUUGACAGCCUAAACUGGGUCCCACUUUAGAGCAAGAAAAUAUCCAUUUUUUCAAGUUGAUAAACUCAAACCAAAAUACCAAAAUACAUCAGACCGACGGAAUAAUACCCUAUUAGAAUUGUGUAAUUACAAUAUUUCUACGUUUAAAUCGAUGUGGCACUCGGUAUUGUCAAAUCCCAGAUCCGCCCUGUGAGUUUAAAAUGCAACAAAUAUAUUUUUUAAAAUCAAACAUUUACGAGAAAACAGAAAAACACAAUCUCACAUAUAUUUCAAUAGUAGUUUUCUCAAAUUAAAUCCACAAUCCAAAAAUAUUUUUUAUUUCUAAUUAUUUAGAAAAGGAAAAGGGUUAAAAAAAACCUAUUGGAAAAAGUUUAAAAAUACCCUUCAUACAUCUAUUGGGCUAAAAACACCACUGUAUUGGGCAAAUUUGGUUCCUCACGCCCAUAUGCUAUCCACAUACGGCCUCACUAGAGAAAGCGGCCUUAGCAAGGUCGACCCAAGUAGGGCCGGCCUCAACCGACAAAUGGACUAAGUGACAAGACUCGCUGCAACAUCACAUCAAGCUCUGACACUCGUAUAUCGAGGCCACCAACUCUCGUACUUUCUUUGUAUUAUUUCGAGGAACGUCCCUUAAUAUAUAAAUGAGACCUUCCCUUUUGUAAAGACUUAGUGUAUUUCAUUACUAGAAAUAUACAAUUCUCUCUCUACCUCUCUCUCUGGUGAAAAAUCUGAUAUGUGUCUAAUUGUUCUUAUAUCUUAGUCAUUUCACAAUCUCUAGACCACAUUACACUUGAUUUCGAUUGACUAAAAUUUUUUUUUGAUUGUUUUCAAGCUAUAUAAAGUGUUCGAAUAACUUUUUAGCCAAACAAUUUGGCGCCGUCUGUGCGGAUUUUGAGAAUUAAAGCUGUAGUUUGUUUCUAGAGAUCCUUCGAAAAGUACUUCGCAUAACCUAGAAUGGCUGAAAAUAAUGCUAGAAUGAAGGCUAUCCUGGAGGUUAGAACAGACCUCACGGGCACUCUCAACACGGCUGCCGAAGGAGAUGCCCUACACACAACCCCUAGUACUUGAUAGGCGUGGAAGCCUUACCCUCCUCAUCAGAAGAUCUGGUAGUGCCACGAGAAAGAGAAGCUUCAACAUCUACCACUAAGGAAGCACCCCCAGAAAUAAAGAAAUUACUCGAAGAGUGGCUGAUGAGCACUCUGAGUAGUCUAGCCAAGAAACCACCCAAAAAUGAUAGAUGCACCCCAGCAGCAGAUCAUGUCGCAACUGAGGAUGAACUCGAGGUCACAAGAACAAAUAACGUACCCGACGAUGUUAUGCACCCCAGCGGCAUAUCAUGUCGCAACCGAGGAUGAGCUCGAGGUCACGAGAACAAACAACAGUCCCGUCGAUGUCCAAGCUAACGACGGAAAGCUCGCAGUCAUCCUCAAAAAGAUGGAAGAAAUGGAGAACGAGAACAAAUCGUUCCGCGACCAGAUGAAAGAACACCAAGAAAGGGUGGAUAAGAUCCCAGGCGCACCUAAGUUGUACAAAUCGCUUCGCGACCAGAUGAAGGAACACCAAGAAAGGGUGGAUAAGAUCCCAGGCGAGCCUAAGUUGUUGCCAAAGCGAGACAUGGGAAGGUUCGUCGAACAACCUUACACGGAAGGAGCCGCGCCGUACCCCAUCCCAAAAACCUUCAAGAUGCCCCCUACUUAAAAGUAUAUGACGGCUAUACCGACCCCGAGGACCACCUGAUACACUAUGUUACAACCGUCAAAGGCAACGACUUAUCAGAAGAACAAGUACCAUCCGUGCUUCUGAAGAAGUGCGGCGAGACGCUGACAGGAGGGGCCCUAACGUGGUACUCACAACUGCCAGCCAAGAGCAUCUCAACCUUUGAGGAGAUGGCUGAUAAAUUUGCUACUGCCCAUGCGGGAGCAAGGAAGGCGGAAGCACGGCGACAUUUUUGUUGUGCGUCAAACCCCGGGAGAAGGGCUUAGAGAGUUCCUAGCCAGAUUCAACAGAGUCAGAAUGAGCCUACCUAACGUGUCUGAAGGCAUGGUAGUUGCGGCCUUUCAGAACGGACUCAGCAGAGAUGGCUCGAAGACGCCAAGAAGCUACUCAACUGUCUCUUGAAAUAUCCCCCACCACCUGGGAAGAAAUACACAAUGCCUAUUGCGCCGAAGUACGUGGGGAUGAUGACGACCUUAACGACCCGACCUGAAGGUUGAAAAAGGUACACCCAGAAAUCCGAAGGGACCAGCGCAACGAGGGAAGGCGGGAACAAAUCCCACGCCUCAACAUGGAAAGACAUCAACCAUACAUCAGGUCCUCACACCCGCCACCACCAAGGCAUACAGACGCCUUACAACGAGAUACUGCUCCACUAAGGAGCGACAGAGGUACGCCCCCUCCAUUAUCUACACAUAACUUUUGUGUGUCCCCUUCAGAGGUAGUGUACGCGCUAGAGAAGCUGGGCAACAAGGUACAAUGGCCAGCAAAGAUGAAGUCCGUCCCCUUCAGAGGUAGUGUACGCGCUAGAGAAGCUGGACAAUAAGAGACAAUGGCCAGCAAAGAAGAUGUCUGACCCCGCCACUAGAAAGUCAAACGCCAUGUGCGAGUUCCACCAAGAACGAGGAUACAGAACAGAGGACUGCAUAGGUCUUCGACAGGAGGUAGUCCGAAUGUUGAACCAAGGGUUCUUGAAGAAGCUGCUCAGCGACAAGGAAAAGCUCAAUUUCGCACGAGGGCGGGAACCACACCAUGGCCCACCAAGGCUGCCCUCACUGAAGCGCACCAUAAGCAUGAUCAUUGGAGAUGACAAUGAUUCGGUGAUCAAUCACAUCAAGUUCACCACCACCCACAAGUUGAAGCGAACUAUCGCCCACGAACGGUAUGAUGACUUCGAAGACAGUAUCACCUUCGAUAAGUCUGAUGCCGAUGCUUUGUGUUUUCCUCAUUAUGAUGCUUUAGUUAUUACUUUACGCAUACUGGAUAAGAUGUUAAAAGGAUCAUGGUCGACGAUAGAAGCGGCGCAUGCAUCAUUCAUCCAAGAGUCCUUGCACUCAUGGGACUCGAGGAUAAAAUAAUCCCGCACUGCAUAACACUAACAGGUUUUAAUAAUGCAGUCGAAAGAACCUCAGGCGAGGUGACGCUGACCAUCCUUGCAGGUGGAGUCACGAUGGAAACCACCUUCCACGUGAUGAGCCACGCUGCAUAACACUAACAGGUUUUAAUAAUGCAAUGGAAAGAACCUCAGGCGAGGUGACACUGCCCAUCCUUGCAGGUGGAGUCACGAUGGAAACCACUUUCCACGUGAUGAACCAAGAAACAACAUACAAUGCCAUUAUCGGACGCCCGUGGAUACACNNNNNNNNNNNNNNNNNNNNNNNNNNNNNNNNNNNNNNNNNNNNNNNNNNNNNNNNNNNNNNNNNNNNNNNNNNCGCCAUGAGAGCCGUCCCAUCCAGCUUCUAUCAAGUAAUCAAAUUCCCAACCCCAUGGGGAGUGCACUGCAUACGGGGAGAGCCCCACACCUCCCAAGAAUGCUAUAAGAUAGCCCAGGAUUACACACAUACCAAACAACUCCAAAGAGCAAGUGGAGAAGCAUAGCACUAGGCCAUGUCGGGGACUAACGUUCGUCCGAAAGAGAAUGCCAUCGAAGAUCCUGAGGAGGUCGAGGCUAGCAAGGCCAUGGUCGAAGACCUCGACCCCGUUCAGAUCAAGAGCAGCGACCCCGCAAAGAAAGCAUGCAUAGGCCAGGGCCUAUCAAAUCCAGGUCAAUACCGUAAAUUUUUAUCUAACCAUGCGGAUCUGUUCGCUUUUUCUCAAGCAAAUAUGCCAGGAAUCCCACAAGAAAUCGCCUCUCACAAACUCAACGUCGACCCAUUGCACCCGCCCGUGCGGCAAAUGAGAAGNNNNNNNNNNNNNNNNNNNNNNNNNNNNNNNNNNNNNNNNNNNNNNNNNNNNNNNNNNNNNNNNNNNNNNNNNNNNNNNNNNNNNNNNNNUGAGCGAAGAAGUGGACAAGUUGCUAGCCAAUGGCUCCAUCAGGGAAUCCAAGUACCCGGAAUGGGUCGCCAACGUCGUAAUGGUAAAAAAGAAGAACAGGAAGUGGAGGAUGUGCGUAGAAUUUACUGAUCUAAAUAAAGCAUUCCCGAAAGACUCUUUCUCGCUGCCCCACAUCGACCAGCUGAUAGACGCAACUGUAGGCCAUGAGUUGCUAAGCUUCCUUGACGCGUAUUCCGGCUACAAUAAAAUCAUGAUAGCCGAAGAAGAUCAGGAGAAGACAACUUUUAUCACCCAUCAGGGGACGUAUUGCUAUAAGGUAGAGCUGCUAAGCUAUCUUGACGCGUAUUCCGACUACAAUCAAAUCAUGAUGGCCGAAGAAGAUCAGGAGAAGACAAAUUAUCACCCAUCAGGGGACGCAUUGCUAUAACGUAAUGCCCUCCGGGCUCAAGAACGCAGGGGCCACUUACCAGAGGCUAGUGACGACUAUGUUCAAGGAACAAGUCGGCAAAAUAAUGGAGGUCUACAAUCAUCGAAAAAGGAGGAUCACCUCACCCACCUGAACGAGCCCUUCGAAAUACUAAGGAAGUACGGUAUGAAACUGAAUCUCGAGAAGUGCGAUUUUGGAGUAACGUCGGGAAAGUUCCUGGGAUUUCUAGUAUCACAAAGAGGUAUCAAAGUCAACCCUUACCAGAUCAAAGCCAUAGAGGCCAUCCCAGAAACACUAAGCAACAAGAAGCAGGUGUAGAAGUUAACGGGCCGAAUAGCCGCCCUCUCCUGGUUCAUCUUACGCUUCUCCAACAGAUGCCACAAGUUUUUUGGUGUACUGAAAAAAGACUAGGGACUGCAAUGGAAUAGAGAAUGUGUAGACGCCCUGAUGAUCUUAAAAGAAUACUUAUCAUCACCGCCUCUACUGGUUAAAGCCAACCCCGAAGAACCAUUACUGGUAUAUCUGGCCGUCUCAGAGGUCGCAGUCAGCGUUGUCCUAGUGCGGGAAAACAAAGGUACGCAAUCUCCUAUUUAUUAUAUCAGCAAAACAUUAGUGGACGCCGAAACCCGGUAUACCCACCUUGAGAGAUUAGCCUUGGCACUUGUAGUAGCUCCACGAAAGCUACGACCGCAUUUCCAAUGCCAACCCAUACGGGUGGUGACGACCUUCCCUCUAAGGAGCGUCAUGCACAAACCCGAACUCUCCGGGCGACUCGCCAGAUGGGACGUCGAGCUCAGCGAUCAUGAUAUUACAUACCUCCCAAAAACCGCCAUCAAGUCACAAGUCUUAGCUGACUUCAUCGCCGACUUCAACGCGGAAGUGUUUCCAAAUACGGAACAUGAGGCACAACAUGCAUACUACGAAAAUGACCUAGGUCCUCUAUACGGACGGCGCCUCCAAUGCAUCGGGAUCAGGACUGAGACUCGUUAUCAAAGUCACCAUGGGCAAAACGAUUCGCCAGUCCAUACGAUGCCCGGAAAUGACUAAAAACGAGGCCGAGUACGAGGCCAUUACUGCAGGCAUGAAGCUGGCCACCAAAUAUGGAGCUCACCGAAUUCUCCUCCACUGCGACUCCCAGCUUGUGGUAAACCAGAUCAUUGGGACUUAUCAAAUCAAGGAACAGAGGUUACAAAAGUACCAGUCAGAAAUCCACAGGCUGAUGGCUACAUUCGACGAAUGAUGCUUCGAACAAAUUCCCAGAGCGCGGAAUAUCGAAGCGGACGGCAUGGCGAAGUUGGUUGCUGCCACCAAAAGCAUCAACAAAGAGAGUGUGGUCACACUCCUCCACUCAGCUAUUGAUCACACCGAGGUACUUUGCAAAAAUAUCAGUCAGAAAUCAAUAGGCUGAUGACUCCUUUUAACGAAUGUUGUUUCGAACAAAUUCCCAGAGCCCGGAAUAUUGAACUGGACGGCCUGGUGAAGUUGGUUGCCACCAAAGGCGUCAACAAAGAGAGUGUGGUCACGCUCCGCCACUCAGCUAUCGAUCACACCGAGGUACUUUCCUUAAAUCUGACUUGGGACUGGCGCAACCAGUUCGUAUCUUACUUGCAGGACGGGACACUCCCCCCAUGAUAAAAAAGAAGCAAAAAAGCUCCGCCUACAGGCCGUAAAAUACUGCAUGAUCAACAUCGACCUUUAUAAAAGGACGUUUGGCGGUCCCCUAGCCAAGUGCUUAGGACCGCAACAAGCAAGAUCUGUACUCGAAGAAGUACACGAGGGCCAUUGCAGCGCCCACACUGGCAACCGCGCCCUUGUUAGAUGCAUCAUACACGCCGGCUACUAUUGGCCCACCAUGAAGAAAGAGGCAGCAGAGUAAGUCCGCCGAUGCAAGCAUUGCCAAAAGUUCGCCCCAAUGAUACACUAACCAGGAGAACCCCUCCAUUCCGUCACAUCCCCCGGGACAUACAUCAAGUGGGGAAUGGACAUAGUCGGCCCGCUGCCCCCAGGGCGAGGAAAGGUACGAUUUCUGCUUAUUUUAACUGACUAUUUCUCUAAGUGGGUGGAAGCAGGUGCGUACGCACAAAUACGCGAGCAAGAAGUUAUCACCUUUAUUUGGAAGAACAUCAUAUGCCAUUUUGGCAUCCCCAAAGAAAUCAGUUGCGAUAAUGGGCGCCUCUCUAAGUGGGUGGAAGCAGGUGCGUACGCACAAAUACGCGAGCAAGAAGUUAUCACCUUUAUUUGGAAGAACAACAUAUGCCGUUUUGGCAGCCCUAAAGAAAUCAACUACGAUAAUAGGCGCCGGUUCGUCGGCCAGAAAACGACUGAAUUCUUUGAAAAAUGGCGCAUAAAAAGAAUACUAUCCACGCCAUACAACCCCGUCUCCAACGGUCAAGUGGAGUCCUCCAACAAAACAUUCCUGAACAUACUCAAAAAGAAGCUCGAAGAUGCCAAGGGACUAUGGCCCCAACUAUUACCCGAAGUCUUGUGGGCAAACAGAACCACACCCAAAUCCAGCAUCGGAGAAACCCCAUACUCACUGGUUUAUGGAACCGACGCGGUCAUACCUGUCGAAGUGGGCGAACCCAGCUUAAGGUACUCAUAAACCAGCGGAUCGGAAAAUGACAUCAGCAGACUCCAAGAUCUCGACGAAGCCGAAGAAAGAAGAGAAAUGGCCCACAUCAGAAUGGUAGCUCAGAAACAACAAGUCGAAAGAUACUACAACAAAAGGGCAAAAAAAGGCCUCUCAAAGUAGGGGUUACGUCCUCAAAGCCAAGACUAUGGCCUCAAAAGAUCCAAGCGAAGGAAAAUUGGGAUGGACCCUAAAAAAUCACAGCGACGGCCAGGAAAGGAGCAUUUCAGCUGGAGAUAAUGGAAGGAAAGACACUCCAAAACAACUGGAACGUCGCUCACCUCAAACGUUUCCAGUUAUAAAAAGGUGACACCUGAGUCGUACUCUUUUUCCCUUACCCGAGUUUUGUCCCAAUUGGGUUUUCUCGGGAAGGUUCUUAACGAGGCGGCAAAGGGGCCACCUGGAGAUGUUUUGCAGCGUGACGAGUCGUACUCUCUUUCCCUUACCUGAGUUUUGUCCCAAUUGGGUUUUCUUGGAAAGGUUUUUAACGAGGCGACAAAUGGGCCACCUAGAGAUGUUUUGCAGCAUGAGUGCAUCAUUUCCACCUCUCCAUAUACACUCCAAGCCCGACAUGAUACAUGGACUGGAUUAGUGACAUCUCCAAGUGUAUAAAAGGCUACGACCACCUCCAAGUAUAUAAAAAGGUUACGGCCAUCUCCAGAUGAAUGUAAAGGCUACGGCCAUAUCCAGAUGAAUGUAAAGGCUACUGCCAUCUCCAAAUGAAUGAAAAGGCUACGACCAUCUCCAGAUGAAUGAACAGGCUACGACCAUCAUUUUAUAUGGCUAAGGCCAUCAGGCUACGACCUCUAUUUUACAUGGCUAUGGCCAUCGUUUUAUAUGGAUAAGGCCAUCAGGUUACGACCUCUAUGUUACAUGGCUACGGCCGUCGUUUUAUAUGUCUAAGGCCAUCAGGCUACGACCUCUAUUUUAGAUGUCUAUGGCCAUCGUUUUAUAUGGCUAAGGCAAUCAGGCUAUGGCCUCUAUGCUACGUGGCUACGACCAUCGUUUUAUAUGGCUAAGGCCAUCAGGCUACGACCUCUAUGUUACAUGGCUACGGCCAUCGUUUUAUAUGGCUAAGGCCAUCAGGCUACGACCUCUAUUUUACAUGGCUAUGGUCAUCGUUUUACAUGGCUAAGGCCAUCAGGCUACGACCUCUAUGUUACAUGGCUACGACCAUAAUUUUAUAUGGCUAAGGCCAUCAGGCUACGGCCUCUAUUUUACAUGGCUAUGCCCAUCAUUUUAUAUGUCUAAGGCCAUUAGGCUACGACCUCUAUUUUAUGUGGCUAUGGCCAUCGUUUUAUAUGGCUAAGGCCAUUAGGCUACGUCCUGAAUUUUACAUGGUUAUGACCAUUAUUUUAUAUAGCGAAGGCCAUCAGGCUACGGCCCGAAUUUUAAAUGGUUAUGGCUAUUAUUUUAUCGGGCUACGGCCUUUAUCUGUACACGGCUAGAGCCAUCGUACUCACAAGGCUACGACCGCCUAUUUUAUAUAGCUAAAGCUAUCAGGCUAAAUUUACACAGCUAUGGCCGACGAAUUUCAAGCAGCUACAUUAAAGAAAAAUACGAUGACACACUGAAAGGUGGAAAAGAUUACUUACAAUAAAAAUUAUAUCUUUUCACAAAGGGGAACACCCCUGAUACAAAAUCAGAAUGAACAAGUAUAUUCACAAAGACCCCAAGAAACCACUACUUAUCUAGCCCUGCCUGGCACUCAGGUGGCCCGUCCUCAUUACCGGGAGGGUACGCCCUGGAAAUCCAAGAAUUGGACUCCAAGCGAUUGAUGUCCACUGAGUUGCCCCCCUCCCGGGCUGGUGAUUCAGGAUCGUAGCCCGCCGCCUCAUGAGCGACUCCAACUAGUUGGCACUGGUUCUCAACCUCCACUUCUGACGCCCGACCAGCCGCCAGAAUUCUUCAAGCACGACCAGCCUGGCCUCCGCAUACACCCACAUCUCGUGCGCCUCACGAGACAUAUCGGCUUGCGCGAGAUCUAGCUUAUGCUCCUCAACCUUGGCCCUCGUGGCUUUGAGUUCCUCUGUUAGAGCCGCCACCCGGGUGCACAAUUUUGCCGCUUCCUCCGCCACGACAUGAUCGAGCUGCAACUCCUCGUCCUUGGACUCGAUAAGGACCUCCAUCUCCGCGGCCCGAGUAACAGCGGCCAUGAGCUGUUCAUCCACCUUUUCCAGCUCGGCCACUCUUUUCUUCAAUUGCGCCUCAGACUCUACUAGGCCCUCACGAACCACUCUGAAGUUGAGGUCCUGCUUGUACAUGUCAUCCAAGGUUUGAUAUGUCUCCCGCACCUUAUUGUACUUCUGCGCCAGCGGUUGUAUUUGGCCAUCUUCUCUUUUCGGCGCCGAUCCAUCUCCACCUCCAAGACAAGAGUCUGGAAAAAAGACCGAGUAAGUACGGUAAGAACAUAGCCCUGCGUAAAGAAAGGUCAUCAAGCAAGGCAGAGGCAUACAUGUAGCGUCGCGCCUGCCACCCUUUGGGCCAAGGAUUUAUCACUAAACUCCGUAGGGUCACGCGCUCGGCACUAGCGCACAAGAGCGUCGUGCUGGAGGCCAGCCUCUUCACAGUUCUCCAGAAAAUUAUAGUGACUUGGGAUCACAAUACGAUGAGAAGAUUGGUCGCCAUCAUCUCCACCCGUUCCACGGACCUUCCUCCUCUGUAUGCGCACUCCAUGGCUGCCCCCGAGCUCGCCACAUCCAUGUCCUCACUUCUCCCUGCCGCGACCUCCCUCCUAAGAUCAGCCCUUCCUGAGCAAAUGGCCUCUGCCAUAAAGGCCGACCUUGAUACAGGGAAAGACGAUCUAGCCUUUCCUGACUGGGUGGCCACGAAUUUGCAAGUAAGGAUUCGACGUUGCCUCCUCUCCAACGUCUCCUCCUCUUCAUGGUCCCCCUCCGUAGGGUGCAAAGCAGGCUCAGAGGGGGUCGGCACGGCAGAAGGCAUCCUUACGGAGGUAGUAUCAGGGACAACUGCCGGCACCUCUAUGGGCACCGCCUCUGGUACGACCCCCGUCAUGGCCUCAGAUGUUAUCUCUGGGGCGAAGCACUGCCCCUGGAAGUGCCAACGAAGAUCAGAUCCGCCUCAGGAUCGGAUGCCGUCUUAGAAGGACCCGCUGCAGUCUUCUUCUUCUUCUUCUUCUUCCUCGCCUUCUUAGAGGCGCCCCGACCUACCAAAACAUAUGAGAGACGGGUAAGGAAAUUAUAUGGGCCCCUAAACCAUAACUAAGAUUAGGUAAAUCUGUUACCAACCGGACAGUGGACCCUAAGAAAUUCAGUCCAAGAACGGCUUUCCUGUGCAAACGGUAUCAGCGCCUGCACCCACGACCUAAUGUCGUCAACACUACGAGGAGGACGAGCAGCCACUGCAUGAAAACAAAGGAAAACUUUCGACAGUAAGAACCAGUAAGGUAAGUUCAAGAUAGUAAACAUCACACACAUCAAUACUUUCAUGUGUCAUUCCACACUUCUGGAAACCCAUUAGGGUUGGGCACAAGGUGUUCGGUACGGACAUAGAAGAACCUCGUCCAUUAUUUACGAUUGGCCUUGUCGUCCACCUGUGCCACGAAGCUUUUUCUGACCCUACUCCUCAACUGGAGCAUCGAGCCUCUCAUGAAAACCACAUUGAACAUGUGCAAAAGGUGAUGAACGGUUACCUCCUUUUCGGCCUUCGCCGCAUAAACAGAUACUACCCUGCACACCAAUAAGGCAUACGAGGUAAGCUGGGCCGGACACACUCCGAACCAGCGACACAACUCCUCCGCUAAUGGGUAAAUUGGAAGGGUGUAUCCAAUUUGGAACGCAUAUUCGUGGAAGGCACAAUACCCGGUCCUAUGCACGUUAGCGUAAUCUAGCCGCGCGGGAACCAUGUCAACAUGGUCAGGAAUAUCACACGUCUCCCUGAGAGAGGCCAAGUGGGACAUCGUCAUCUCACUAUGCUCCCAAGGUCAGACUUUACGCUUAUUUAGAAAAUCGCUCCUUUUGCUCAUAUCGCGUGGAAGCAGGUUGGCCGUUGAAAGAGGAACAAAAACCUCCUCGGCCUCCUCGCCGUCCGAGGAUGACGAGGCCCUGGUGAAAGCGACGUCCCUGGUUCUGGUAUCAUCACGCCUACGUUUAGCCAUAGUGAAUGAUGUAAGAAAAAGGUAUUACGGGUCGCAAGUUCGAGUCCUGAGAAUGAGAAAUUCAGAGAAGAAAGGAAUAGCAAACACCAGAAAAAGAUGGGGAAAAUAUGAGGAAAUAUUCUCCGAAAAUGAUCGAAAGAUGAAUCUAGUCCAACUCUCCACCUAUUUAUAAGAAAAGGUAGACGGAAAUUGAAAGGACAUGAUUCAAAAAAUCGGAGUAGGAAACCCAAACGUCACGUCAUAACCUGAACCACCUGAAAAGGAUCGAAAGAUGAACUUAGUCCAACUCUCCACCUAUUUAUAAGAAAAUGUACACGGAAAUCGAAAGGACAUGAUUCAAAAAAUCGGCGCAUGAAACCCAAACGUCACGUCAUAACCCAAACCACCUUGGGAGCAGAAGUAAUGAUCACACAUGUGAUCGAUGAUGUCACCUCAAAAAGAAAUUCCCAAAAGGAAGGUAACAUGUCAACGACAUGACCUCUUCAUACAACGAGCAUGUCUCUUACAAGAGUAUCAGCAGGAACGACCAAAUUUCCAUAGGCGUCGAGCAAGUAAGUCCGUCUAUUGGGAACGCCCUUCAGCCGCUCCCCAAUAAACGGAGGGACUAUCUGUAUUGGGCAAAUUUGGUUCCUCACGCCCAUAUGCUAUCCACAUACGGCCUCACUAGAGAAAGCGACCUUAGCAAGGUCGACCUAAGCAGGACCGGCCUCAGUCGACAAACAGACUAAGUGACAAGACUCGCUGCAACGUCACAUUAAGCUCUGACACUCGUAUACCGAGGCCACCAACUCUCAUACUUUCUUUGUAUUAUUUCGAGGAAGGUCCCUUAAUAUAUAAAGGUAACCUUCCCUUUUGUAAAGACUCAUAUGUAUUUCAUUACUGAAAAUAUACAAUUCUCUCUAUCUGAUCCUCUUUCUAUCUCUCUCUGGUGAAAAAUUUGAUAUUUUUCUCGUUGUUCUUAUAUCUUAGUCAUUUCACAAUCUUUAGACCAUAUUACACUUGAUUCCGAUUGACUCAAAUGAUUUUUGAUUAUUUUCAAGAUAUACAAAGUGUUCGAAUAACUUUUUAGCCAAACAACCACUACAUCUACUUUUUUGGUUCAUUUCUCACAUUUGACCGUUAGGUCAAUAGAAUUAAAAAUAAUUUUUAAACUAUAUUUUUGGCUAUAAUUUUUAUAUAGCUCUAACUUACGGUGCUCUAAUAUAUAUAUAUAGAUUUUACCUAAACAAAACAAAAAUAUACAGUUAAAAUAAAUAGUCAUUGCAUAAAAAAGGAAUAAAAAGAGUAUUUUGAUGCUUUGACUAUUUAAUUUUUAUGACUUUUUAGAUGCCUUGACUGUUUAUUUCAAAUAUAUAAAUCUUUAUUUUCAGGUCAAAUUCAAAAAGAUAUUAACUAAAAACUUUAUUAUUUUUUGCCAAAUAAAAAUAUUUAGCCUACAUAAUGUAGGUCUAUCCAAGUUUUAUUAUAAAUUGUAUUCGAAUUUUUUAUCUAAAAUGUUAUAUUCUUAAAACGGUAAACAUAUAUUUAUUUUUCAAAAAAAAUCACAUAUGCAUAAAAAUUCAUGCAGCAUGUGAGUGCACCUAUACUUUUUGCCACAUCAGUAUCUAGGGGUUAAUAUCUCACAAAAGGCCAAGUUGAGGGGUAAUUAAUUAGGCGUUUGGACAUAAAAAUUGUAAAAUUCAAAACAAUAAUGAUUUUUUUCAAGUAAAAAUAAUAUUUAAAAUUUAGAAUUGUGUUUGGACAUCAACUUAUAUUUGAGUUGUUUUUGAAGAUUUUUAAGUGAUUUGAGUGAAAAUUUAAUAAAAUUGCAAAAAGAAAUUUUUCAAAUUUUCAAAAUUCAUCUUCAAGUAAAAAAUUAAAAAUUUUAUGAACAAACGCUAAUUUCGAAAAAAUAAACAUAUUAUUUGUAGAAAAUUCUUCAAUCAAAUUUUAUGAGCAAGUGGGCUCUAAGAUCAAAACUAGUCCGGGAGGAUACUAAUAAUCUGUGUUAAAUUUUGGGGCGAUUUAGGUAUUUUGCCUUUUAAAAAUUGUAAUUUCCUAACACACAUCCGGUUCUAUCUUUUUAUGCGCCCCCCCUCCCCCUCACCAACCCAUACCCGUUUCUUAUACCCAAAAAGGCUUGGGUUUAAACAAAUUAGGAUCAAGUUGAGGGGUAAUUAAUUAGGCGUUUGGACAUAAAAAUUGUAAAAUUCAAAACAAUAAUGAUUUUUUUCAAGUAAAAAUAAUAUUUAAAAUUAGAAUUGUGUUUGGACAUCAACUUAUAUUUGAGUUAUUUUUGAAGAUUUUUAAGUGAUUUGAUUGAAAAUUUAAUAAAAUUGCAAAAAGAAAUUUUUCAAAUUUUCAAAAUUCAUCUUCAAGUAAAAAAUUAAAAAUUUUAUGAACAAACGCUAAUUUCGAAAAAAUAAACAUAUUAUUUGUAGAAAAUUCUUCAAUCAAAUUUUAUGAGCAAGUGGGCUCUAAGAUCAAAACUAGUCCGGGAGGAUACUAAUAAUCUGUGUUAAAUUUUGGGGCGAUUUAGGUAUUUUGCCUUUUAAAAAUUGUAAUUUCCUAACACACAUCCGGUUCUAUCUUUUUAUGCGCCCCCCCUCCCCCUCACCAACCCAUACCCGUUUCUUAUACCCAAAAAGGCUUGGGUUUAAACAAAUUAGGAUUUGAUUUCUAUCUCUAUCUUCGUUCCCAGUCGUCAGUACUCAGUGGCCAUGCUUACUUCUCUAACACAUACGAUGAAUUCAACUAUUUCAUCGAUCUUAACUAUUUCACAAAUUUCUACAAUUUACUUUACACAUAUUAUUAUAUACUGAUGUUUAUUUUUGUUUUUUUGUGAUGUGGAAGUUAUCAACAAAAAAAAAACAGCCGCAGGGAGAUUAUAUAGAGUUACACAGGAAGAGAUUUGGUCGUCGCCAUGAUCACGAGGAGCGUAAACGUAAGAGGGAGGCUCGUGAAGUUAAGGAGCGCUCCCAAAAAGCCCAAAAGGUCCCUCUUUUUUAUCCUAAUUAUAUUUCUCUCUUUUUUUCAGUUCCUAAUUAUAUUUCAAACCCCCUCUUUUUUGUAUGAAUUUUUUUUGCUUAAUUUUCUCUGUUUUGAAAAACAGACGUUAGGUAUUAAGGGUAAAAUGCUUGCUAAGAAGCGAUAUGCUGAAAAAGCCCAAAUGAAGAAAACGUAAGGUCAUCUUAAUUGUGUAAUUACCAGUUUACUAUUUAUUGGGAUUGUGUGAAAAAUACAAAAAAAAAAAGAAAAAGAUUUUUAUUGUGUUAAAAAUUCAAAAAUAAAAUAAAAUUGAUCUUUAUUGGAAAAGGUCCAAUAAUAUAAACUAUGGUAUAUAACUCACUUUUGUCCUCCAUUAGUUAACUGGGCCAAAAAUUCAUGCUCCCUUUUCCACGCACUCACCCAUGUCACUACAAAGUGUCUAAUUGGCACAAAUGUGAUUUAGUUGAAGGGCCUGACAGGAACAACUCCUUGUUUAAGUGCCCAGGUGACCAAAAAGGCCAAGUUUAAGGGCCCAGUUAUGUUUUUUGCCUUUUUUAAAAUCAGUUAUGUGAUACUUGGUGCUUAUUUGGUCCUUAUGGGUGAGACGCAUGAUGUGAUUCUACGCACUGAAGCAUGUACCAGUUUAUUAAUGAAACAAAGGAUGGUAACUUUGUAGCAGAAUUUCUGAAAUUCUAUCCAGUUAACAGCUUUUCUUUCUUUGAAUAGAUUGGCUAUGCAUGAAGAGUCAUCGAGUCGUCGCAAGGUUGACGAUGAUGUGCACGACGGUGCUAUCCCUGCAUAUCUGAUGGACCGUGAAACGACCACAAGAGCUAAGGUAUGUUGAGUGCGAUGCAACAGUGAACUUCUUGUCUUUUUACUCAAGUGGUGGUAACAUUCAGCACUGGAGCACAUAGAAAAGCAUUACAAAUUUAUUGGUCCCAAGGAUACCUUAAUAGCCCAUGUUCAAUCUCCAGGAGAAUCUAGGUAUGGUUUCAAUAGUUUCAGGCCUUCUUUAUUACGAGAUCUUAAGUUACUUUCUUCCUUUGUCACUAGGUUUUCUUAGAUAAUAUUACUGUAGUGUCCUGUUUCUCAAAGUAUCUACUAUCAUUUUAGAAAUGCAUACGAAAUAAUGCAGACUACAUUAAAUUACGAUUUCCAUGGUAUUACGCUGAAACCAAAUUACUAAUUAAUGGAGCUUCAAUAGGAUAUUUAAUGGAUGAACUCAUUGUAUCAUUAUUUUUUGCUAAUCUUGAGAUUCAUUCCUGUAGAAGCCAACUAAAGUUUAAAGCCCUGCAUGUUUUUUUUUUUUGCUGUAGCAUCUCUAUGGCACUCUCUAUGCAUUUGGAAACAAAAAUUAUUUGGAGUUUUGAAGUUUCCCAUGAAUUCAGCCCUAUGGGAGAUGCUAAAGCUUUCCGAUGAAUGCAUGGUAUAGAAGCAGAACCAAUGUUUUUUUUUGUUGCAUUCUCCUUCAGCCCUCUGGUGGAUCCUAAAGCUCUUGGACUGAUGCAUGGUAUAGAAGCCGAAUCAACCUGUUAUUUUGCAUUCCUUUUAUAUUGGGUGUGAGAGCAUUAUGAUGAUAUAUGAAUGAGAUCUUUUUUCUUAAUUCUUUUUCCGUGGUUUGAACUUUGGACAUGACAGCAUUCAAGUUUAUCAGCACUGUGUCACUGGUGGCAUGACUACCACAACUGAUACAGGUUUUGUCAAGGAAAAUGAUCUCUUGACAGUUUUUCUUUUCUUUGGUCCUGUUACAUAACAGGAUUGUGUUAAGUUACAGGUUACGCCAUUGUUGCACCUAUGCUGGCUUCAUCAGUGAAGUGGAUAGCCAUACUCCAUACUAUACGCAAUCGAUCUUCCAGUGGUGAAAAACACUACCCUCCCCAGACCCCACUAAGUGGGAUUAUAAUGGGUUGUUGUUGUUGUUGGUGGUGGUGGUAACAUGAACAUAGACUGUUUAUACUGGUUUUAAAUGUUAAACUUUCUGUGUAGAUUCUUAGCAACACAAUAAAGCAAAAGCGGAAAGAGAAAGCUGGAAAAUGGGAGGUGCCUCUGCCUAAGGUAAAAAGUCUUUACGUUACUCAUCCUAUACUGUCUCUGUAUGGUUUUCACCCUUGUCCAGUGUGUUCAUAUUUCUUUCUAAUUGUGUUCCUGUGCAAUUGAAUGGUCCAUCAAUUCUGGAAUAAUGACAUCUUUCUGUCUCUCUUUGUUUGACUGGUCACAAAUAGAGAUACUUCUUACUUCAGUUUGCUCUCGUUUAACUGCACUUUUGAUUUUUUCGUCCCACAUAGAAUUCGUUUGGCUAGAGCAAUAAUUCUUAUUUGUUUUCUUAGACAAGUAUACUGUUCUUCCACUGAAAAUAGAUGGCGCACAAAGGCUCAUCAUCUCCCAUUGUAUAUGAGCAGCACUUUAAUUCCUUUUGUGGGUAAAUGUCCGUGAUCUUUCGUUUACUUAAUUUGCUUUCUAAUAAGAUGCUUCACCUUAUAGGUUAGGCCUGUGGCUGAGGAUGAGAUGUUCAGAGUGAUAAGAUCUGGCAAAAGGAAGAGUAAGUAUUCUACAAUCCUUAUUUCGUUUUCUGUUGGCUAGCCUGUAUUUACAGGUUUUUGACCAUGUCCAGGUUCUUGAUUUCAGCUCCUCGCUCAUGUCCUUUGUUGCUUUAUUUGUUGUCUUUAGGAUAAGUAAGAGUCGCUUUUUGACCGUUUUGAUUUGUGCUCAUCUUUGCAGCAAAGCAGUGGAAGAGAAUGGUUACAAAAGCCACCUUUGUCGGGGCAGGGUUUACCAGGAAACCUCCAAAGUAUGAGCGGUGCAUCCGCCCAUCAGGCUUACGGUUCAGUAAAGCCCACGUGACACACCCUGAACUUAAAUGCACAUUCAACCUUGAGAUCAUCGGGGUGAAGAAGAAUCCUAAUGGUCCAAUGUAUACUUCACUUGGUGUUAUAAUCAAGGGUACCAUCAUUGAGGUAAUCUUCCCUUUUCAACACUGCACCCAUUUUUAUCUAGUUUGGCUUGCAUUCCUAAAUGUCUUGCUAUAAAAUCCAGGUUAAUGUCAGUGAACUUGGUCUUGUCACUCCUGCUGGGAAAGUUGUAUGGGGUAAGCGAUGCUUUACUUAGAUGUUACACUUCCCGGAUUCUUUUGUCCUUCAAAUUCUGAUGAUUCAUUUAUUGGAUGGUUGAAUGCAGGCAAAUAUGCUCAAGUGACGAAUAAUCCUCUUUAUUAUGAUGUUACACUUCCUGGAUUCUUUUGUCCUUCAAAUUCUGACGAUUCAUUUUAUUGGAUGGUUGAAUGCCAGGUAAAUAUGCUCAGGUGACGAAUAAUCCUGAAAAUGAUGGUUGUAUCAAUGCAGUUCUCCUUGUGUAGUACCUUCUAGUAGAGAAAAUUUUGGUAAUUAUUUUAGAAGGGAACAAUUAUAUUGUCUGGAAAUGAACUUUGCUGUAACUCCAGUAGAAAACCUCUGUGCCUUUGUCAUCAACAUCACCUUGUUUUUUCUCCUUGUUGCAAACAACUCCCCUCUAUGUAUCCUCUUUAAUUCAUUUGUUUGUUCCCUUACACAUGCAGCAACAUCUAUCCAGCUUGAAAUAUGGGAAAUUAUGUUACUUCAUCAUAAUAUUCUAAAGGCCUAUUUGGUUUCUUAUCAUCAAAUUCUAUAGACAUCAUAAUAUUACUACAACAACAAACAACCAGUAUAAUCCCACAAGUGGGGUCUGGGAAGGGUAAUAUGUACGCAGACCUUACCUCGGGGUCAGGGUAGAGAGUUUGUUUCCAGGAGAUCCUCGGCUCAAGAAAGCAACAAGAAACGUUAUAUUAGUACUAUCAAUAGACUCAUAAUAAAAUAGUCAAAAUACAUAAAUUAUCACCUGAACUAUGGAUCAAAUUCCUGUUAUACACUUUUUAAGACGAAAAUUACUUUACCCACUCAACCUUUUUAAAAUAUGUCUAAAAUAUACCUUUUUUUCUUGACCAGCUUACUAAAUUAUGUUUAAUGUCACGCACCUAUAAGGUUGUGACAUGUGUCAUUAACUUAAAAUAAUAAUAAUACAAUUAUAAAAUUACACAUAUAUCAUCAUCUUCUUCAACUCCAUCUCUUCCAUUUCCAUCUCCCCUUCCGACGACUACCACAAAAAUCAGAACCACAAGAGAUAAUGCACAGAUAAUGGGACCUUUAACAUACAGUACAAAACCCAAAACAAAUUCCAAUUUAUUGAUCAAGAUAAUUCCAAGACAAAAAAAACAAAUUUCAGUCAAUAUUAAUCUCGAUCAUAUACUAAAAUCUGGAGAGAGAGAGAGAGGCUUAUAUGAGUUUUCGAUUUAAUGUCGAAGAAUUUGUAUGGAGAUUAUAAUCAAAAGAUUAAUUAUAUUUUCAAGAUUGUUUUAAUUGGAGAUUCUGCAGUUGGAAAAUCUUAGCUUUUGGCUAGACUUGCAAGGGAUGAGUUUAGCUUAGAUUCAAAGGCUACAAUUUAGGGGUGAGUUACAGAUUUUUGGGGAUGGGGAACGAGGAAGAAGAAGAGAAGAAGGGGGUGGGGGUCCUGUGGACCAUUGACUUAAAAAAUAAAAAAUAAUUUUUUCCUGACAUCUGACACUUCUAACACUCAUAUCUUUUUGGUUACAGGCGCCUGCCACGUAGCAAAAGGGGGUGUCUUAGGCACACUCGAAAAGGUUGAGUGUGUAAUGAAUCGCUUGUGCUCAGAAAAUGUGUCACAGAGAUUUGGUCCUAAGGUCAGGGGGUAAACUAUCUUCUUAAUUAAAUAAUAUAAAAUAACAUAAAAUUUAUAACAUAACAUAAAAUAUCAUAAAAUAACAAAAACAAUAGAAAUAUAAGAAAUAUAGGAAAUACAAAAAAGAUGUAAAGUAUAUUAGGUAUGGGCAUCGGUCGGUUCGGUUCGGUUCUGUUUUGAACAUUAUCGGUUUUGCCUGUCGGUUAUCGGUUUACAAAUAUCAUAACCCGAUAGCCAAAUCGAUAAGAUAUUGGUUAUCGGUUAAUCGGUUAUAUAUCGUUAUCGGUUUACCCGAUAAGAUAAAACAACUAAAUUUUUUUGCAAUAUAUAGAACAAAGAAAUCAAAAUGCCAGAAGGUAUAAACUGUAAACUGUCAACUUUUGUUGUUUCUUAACAAAAAGACGCUCCCACAUUUGUGCAGUAUCUACUGAUACACACCAUGGAUCAACAUCAUAUAGCACAAAAUUACCUAUGUUAACUCAAAUUGAAUAUUAAAAAAUUGAUGCUCAUCUAACCAGAAAUUUCAGCAGAAGAAUCAAAGCACACUUUCAUUAUUCAGGAAAAAAAUGAUAUAUCAAAACCAAUCAAAGAAAAAAUCUGAUAUACCAAAUACUACAAGAUCAUUCUCAAAAAUAACUUAAGACUACAAGAUGCCUACUACAAGACUCACAUAUAUAAUUGAUAGCCUGUUACAUAUUACUGGGUAAUGUGAAGGUUAGCAAAAAUCAAAACAAUUAACAAGAAGCAAACAGAAAAAUCUUGAGCCAAAACUUACACGAUACGAUUGACGAGUGAGGAAGUGAGCCGUCGUGACUGGCGGAGAACUGGUGAGGUACUGGUGUCUGGCGGAGAACUGGUGAUGAGUCUUGCGUCUUGACUCUUGGGGGCUGCGGCAGAAACAAGAUGAGAACUGAGAGACAGGCAACUGAAGACUGAAGAGUGAAGCGGGAAUUAUGAAAAUAAAACCCUAGUAUAUACUUAAGGGAAAAUUAGUAAAUUAAUUUAUUAUUAUUGGGUUAUAGGUUUUUACCCAAUAAUAAAAAUGCAAACCGAGCCCAAACCGAUAACCCAAUAAAAAAAUUAACCUGUUACCGAACCAUUAACCAAUAACCCAAUACCGAUAACUCAAUAAAGAAUUAACAAUUUAGGUUAUUGAUUUUAUCCGAUAUAUGCCCACUCCUAAAGUAUACUAAUAACCAACAGAUAAAGCCCAUCAUCAGUAGCAUCCUAAGACUAACUCAUGACUGGCUAGUCUCACUCUAGUGCAGUUGUAGAAAUAUUCACAACCUUUCCCUAACAUACAACCUUAAUGCUCGACCUCCACAAUUCCCUGUUAAGGGUCAUGUCCUCAGUAAUCCUAAGUCGCGCCAUGUCUUGCCUGAUCACCCAUCCCCUAUACUUUUUAAGUCUCUCUCUACCUCUCCUCGUGCCCACCACAACCAGUCGCUCACACCUCCUUACCGGUGCAUCAGUGUUCCUCCUCUGAAUGUGCCCGAACCAUCUGAGUCUUGCUUCCCGCAUCUUGUCCUCUAUGGGGGCCACACUCAUAUUCUCUCAAAUAUCUUCAUCCUAAUCUUAUCUAUCCUUGUAUGCUCACACGUCCACCUCAACAUCCUCAUCUCAACAACUUUCAUCUUCUGGAUGUGUGAGUUCUUAACCGGCCAACACUCGAUCCUAUAUAACAUGGCAGGCCUAAUCACUACCGUAUAAAAUUUACCUUUCAGUAACGGUGGCACUUUCUUAUCACACAGGACUCUCGUCGCUAACCUCCACUUCAUCCACUCCCACCCUUACACGGUGUGUGACAUCCUCGUCGAUCUCCCCGGUACCCUGAAUAACUAACCCAAUGUACUUGAAACUACCCCUCUUAGGGAUGACUUGAGAAUCAAGCCUCACUUCCACUCCCGCUUCCGUCGGCUUGGCCCCAAAUUUGCACUCGAGGUAUUCCGUCUUCGUCCUGCUCAACCUGAAACCUUUUGACUCAAGGGCAUGUCUCCAAGCCUCUAGCCUCUCGCUGACGCCGCGUCAUAUCUCGUCAAUUAGGACUAUGUCAUCAUCAAAUAGCAUGCAUCAUGGCACUCUCCCCUUGAAUAUGAUAUGUUAUGGCAUCCAUCACAGGGCAAACAGGAAAGGGCUGAACGCAGACCUUUGGUGCAACCCCGUAACAACCGAAAAAUGCUCGGAGUCGGCUCCUUCUGUCCUAACCUUGAGUCUUAGCUCCAUCAUACAUGUUCUUAAUCACCUAAUGUAGGUAACCGAGACCCUUUUAUCCUCAAAGCAGCUCCAUAAGAACUCCCUAGGAAUCCUGUCGUAUGCUUUCUCUAGAUCGAUAAAUACCAUGUGGAGAUCCUUCUUCUUAUCCUUAUAUUGUUCCACGAUCCUCCUAAUGAGGUGGAUAGCUUCUGUCGUACAUCGCCCCGACAUAUACCCGAAUUGGUUAUCUGAAAUAGACACUAUCCUUUGCACUCUCAUUUCUAUCACUCUUUUCCAGACUUUCAUGGUAUGACUUAGUAAUUUGAUAACCCUAUAGUUGUUACAACUAUGGAUAUCGCCUUUGUUCUUAUACAACGGAACCAUUGUACUCCACCUCCACUCAUACAUCCUAUUAGUCUUGAAUAUAACAUUAAACAACCCAGUAAGCCAUUCCAAGCUUGCUCUACCCACACACCUCCAAAGUUCAACCGGAAUUUCAUCUGGCCCGGUAACUCUGCCCUUCCUUAUCUUACGCAUUGCCUCCAUGACCUCAUCGACCUCGAUGUCCCUACAAUCACUUAAUUCAUGGGAGCUGUCGGUAUUCCCCAAUUCACCUAGUACAAUAUCCUGAUCCCCUUCCUCAUUUAGAAGUUUAUGAAAGUAGGUCUGUCAUCUCCUCUUAAUCUGGUCAUCCCCCAUCAAAAUUUUGUCAUCCUCAUCUUUUAUGCACCUCACCUGGUCCAGAUCCCGAGCCGCCCUCUCUCUCAGCUUAGCGGAAGAGAUAAAUUUAGCCGAAUAAUAUAACGAAGGUUAAAUGUAAACAAUAUUCAAAAGUAAAGUGGUAUAUUUGGUCAUUUUCCAUCAUCAUCUUUUAUGCACCUCACUUGGUCCAGAUCCCGAGCCGUCUCCUCUCUCAGCUUAGUGAGUCGGAAUAACUUCUUCUCCCUGCCUUUGUUCCCUAAUUCCUCAUACAAACAAGCAAAAACUGUCGUCUUAGCCUCCGCCACUGCUAUCUUUGCCUCCUUCCUAGCUACUUUAUAUCUCUCAAUGUUCGCUCUCUUCUUCUCCUCGUCGGUGCUCCCUGCUAACCGCAGGUAAGCUGCCUUUUUCGCUUUCACUUUACGUUGGACAACUGCAUUCUACCACCAGUCUCCUUAGAGGCCACCGGUGCGAUCUGAAGAUAUCCCUAAUACCUCUCUCGUCGCCUUCCUUAUAUAAUCCGCCGUCGUCGACCACAUAGUGUUCAUGUUCCCACUACUUUUCCAAGCUCCCACAAUACAUGAAUUAUAAUAUUGUAAGUUAAUUAUGUUGGAUUUACUCAUGUUAUUCAUAUGUUCGCAUAUACCACAUCACUUGGUCCAAUUAGAUUUAGGUUACUGCCAUUUAUCCAAAAUAUAUUUUAAUGAUAGACAUUCAAAGCAGACUAAUUCAGCAUAACAGUUUCAAAACAUAUUUUUUAGACCUUAUGACUUGUGACUAAGGGGCUGUUUUGUUAAAAGGUCUAGGAGAAUAAACCUUUUGAUAAAAUGCUGCAUAAGAUAAUCAAAUUUUGAUUGGAGAGAUUAGAAAAAGAUAAUUCCCACAUAAGUAAUGCAUGUUUAACCCAAUGCUGGCAAUAUCAUAACUUCAAUGCACAAGCUUCAUAUGGGGCGAUGGGUGGUGGUAGUGCCGGUUUAAAUAAAUGCGGGACAAUGUGGGUUUAAGGCUAGGUAGUGCCGGUGGAUGUGAGACGAAUUGAAAUAACUUUUUAAUAACAAAUAUAGUACAAUAUUGAUUUCGAUUCUAAUUUUGCGUUCGUAUUGAACGGGAUCAACACCAAUAGUGGGUCCAUCGACAUUUUCAUAAAGAAGAAAAUAAUUUCAGGGAUUCUCAAUGUUAAUUGAUGAACUACUUUAGAUUUUUAUUUUGUGUUUAAUCCAUUCCAAUUUCUCUUUUAACGAAAAAACAUUCUGUAUCUACUAGUACUACUAGUAUCUAGUUUAUAAGACAUACAACUUGAUUUACAGUGAGGGUUUUUGGUUUUUUUAAGCUUUUAAUAAAUAAGCAACUUGAUCUCCAUUAGAUAUUUAUCAUGAUAGUUAAAUUUAACCGAAAAUGUACUAGCAAUAAGAUUUCACCAAAAAAUUCCAUCAAAAUUCCAAAAGUCGUUGCACAAAAAAACUACACCAAGCACAAAAAAUUGUACCUCAAGUUGCAUUAGACUUCAAAAAUAGAUAAAAAAAAAAAAGAAAAAACCGCAAAAAAGACACGUUUAGAUAAGAUUUUCUUUUACUAUUUUCAGUUUUCAAAUUUUCAGGAAAAUUUUAAUAAUUUCAGACCCUACAGUGUGGAAUAAGACGGUUAUGUUAUUGUUGUUGUUGCCAGCUAAAUUUUAACAAUUCGAGUAUGAUGAAUAGCUGACAAAGACCAAAUGUGCUCCUAUUGAUAAAAUUAAAUGACCAAAACUGUUAAGGUGAUACCUGAGGGAACCUACAAUUAAAAUUUUAAAAACACAUACCUCCAUAUUUUUUAUACAAGGUACGUAUAAGCUUCCCCCUCAAAUAGGGGUGUUCAAAACCGAUCCGAAACCGAAAACCGAUCCAAACCGAAGCUUAACGGCUNNNNNNNNNNNNNNNNNNNNNNNNNNNNNNNNNNNNNNNNNNNNNNNNNNNNNNNNNNNNNNNNNNNNNNNNNNNNNNNNNNNNNNNNNNNNNNNNNNNNNNNNNNNNNNNNNNNNNNNNNNNNNNNNNNNNNNNNNNNNNNNNNNNNNNNNNNNNNNNNNNNNNNNNNNNNNNNNNNNNNNNNNNNNNNNNNNNNNNNNNNNNNNNNNNNNNNNNNNNNNNNNNNNNNNNNNNNNNNNNNNNNNNNNNNNNNNNNNNNNNNNNNNNNNNNNNNNNNNNNNNNNNNNNNNNNNNNNNNNNNNNNNNNNNNNNNNNNNNNNNNNNNNNNNNNNNCUAUCUUUAAUUUAUUUUUGGUUGUAAUCCUCCUGUUUGGCAAUAUGCCGGAGAUGGUAAAGCUAAUUUCCUAAUCACGAGAAUUAAAUUGAGUGACUCUGGCAAAGAAAAUUGAAUGCAUCAUAUUGCCUCUAAAAUAUUAUUUUUUAUGGCAAUUCAUUAUUUCUAAGACGAAGAGAAUAANNNNNNNNNNNNNNNNNNNNNNNNNNNNNNNNNNNNNNNNNNNNNNNNNNNNNNNNNNNNNNNNNNNNNNNNNNNNNNNNNNNNNNNNNNNNNNNNNNNNNNNNNNNNNNNNNNNNUAGAGCUAACCCGAUACCAAUCCGCCCGAUAUCUUAUCGGGUGGCUAAUGGAUUAAUACAUUUAAAAGCCGAUAACCGUUAAGCCAAACUGUUAAGAAUAAAAGCCGCCCAAUCCGCCCAAUGAACACCCCUACCCUCAAAUACCGAAAGCUUUGAUACACAUUAUCAGGUUUUCCCAUACGAUGCUGAAAGGGCGGGAAACUUUAAUCCGAUUGGUUGGUCGGCGACGGCGAUUUCUCCGUCGCCGCCACUCUCUUCUCACUUCAUCUGCUCCUCAGUAUCAGGUAUAAUUUACUAUUAAUUUAAUAUUUUAAUUCCUUUAAUUGUUUUACAGUUUACUUAAAUCGAAAAGUAAUUUAAUUCGAGGAUUUUCAGAUUGGCUGUAAGGAAUAUAAGGAUGAGGUAAGCACUGGAAAUGGAAAUGUUGAUGAAGAAGAAUGGGUUGAUUGUCCUCUUUGUGGGAAGAAGAUUCGAGGCGAAGAUCGCGUGGUUAACUCUCAUUUAGGUGCAUUUUUACUUUAAGAUUAUGUAGAGUUCCUUCUGAUUUGGAUGCUAAUAUUAGAUUAUUUGUUGAGCAUUUUAGGAUACUUUCGUCCAUAUGUAGCCUGAUAGUAGAGUAAAUGUGGUAAUCUAUCUGUUUUAUGCGUAAUACUAUUUGGAUUUUUGUUGAGCAUUUUAGGAUACUUUCGUCCAUAUGUAGUUUGAUAGUAGAGUAAAUGUAGUAAUCUUUAUGUUUUAUGUGUAUUAGAAUCAUGCUUUGGAUUGAAAAAUGUUUAAGUUGCUGGAGGAGGUCAGGUGUGGAUUUAGUGUAUUUGGUAUACAACAACAACAAAAUAGUGGCUAUUUUUUAUGGACUUUGUAAACGCUAGCUAUUUUUAAAUAACCAAUCCGAAAACUGGAUAUACCGUACUAUUUUUACGUUAGAUAGUGGUUAAAUGGGAAUAAUAACAUAACUGGUAAAGUUACUGUCAUGUGGCCUGAAGGGAUGAAAUUAAAAAAUAGCCAGAUUUAUAAGUGGUCAUUCAAAAAUAGCCACAGUUUCAAAAGUAAUAAAAAUUUAGUCACUUUUCAUAUAAAGAUAAAUUUGAACUAAAACACUGUUCAAAAUUUGGAAAAUACUCCAGUAUAAUAUACUGGAGUUCCAGCAUAAUAUAUUGGAGUUCCAAUAUAAUAUAUCGGUCCAACAUAAUAUGCUGGUAGUUUAUACACAUGUGCUCCAAUCUCCGAUAUAUUAUGCUGGAACUUUCCGCGUGUUGGAGUUCCAUCAUAAUAUGCUGGAAGUUCGUACACAAGUGCACUGAUCUCCAGUAUAUUAUGAUGGAACUUUCCGUGUUGCAGCAAAAUAGUGGUUAUUUUUUAAUGACUUUGCAAAUACUGGCUAUUUUUGAAUGAUCAGUCCGAAAAUUAGCUAUGCUAUUUUUACUACUAGAAGGUCACGAGUUUAAACCAUGGAACCAACUUUGAUCUGGCCUUUUUCUGGACCCGCGCAUAGUAAUUGAAGAUUUGAUUGCCUGACGUUCAAAGUCAAGUGGACAUAAAUAGGAGAAGAAAAAAGGAAAGAAAGACUAGUUUAGAUCUUGGAAGACAUUUCCAGUUUCAGAAAUGACAAUUCAUGGUCUCCCCCAUCAGAAAAUGAGAAAAAAGAGAGGAAGAAACGGCAAAAUUCCAGAGUCUGUCUGUCUCGGUCAAAAUAAGCAGCCUCUAUCAUGCUCAUAGUAUAUACAAAUAAAGAUUUAUUUUGACUCGUGGAGAUUCGAGAAUAAAAAUAACAAAUGUCUUCAAAUCUCCCUCAUUAAUCUAUUGUAAGGCCAGCAAAUGAAAUCUCCCUCAGGCUACUGAAAACUGAAAAGUUGGUGAUCUACAUGUGACAUCAAUUAUUAUGUAAACAUCACAAUUAACUUUCUAAAUCAGAAUAUUUAUUUUUAAUUAAUUUGUUAAAAAGAAUAAUAUAUUUUUAAAACUAAAAAUAAUUUAAUUAAAAUUUUUUAUUUUAUUUUUAAUGAUAAGCUCUUAUAGGCAUAUAUGUAAACAUCUAGGAUAUAAAUUUCAAAACUCUUAUAAACAAUAAAUUUUAAAAACUUGCUUUUCUCUUUUAAGUUUAAAUUUUCGAACAAACUAUGUCAUAUACAUUGAAAUUAAAGGCCUAUAUUCUUUUAGAGCAUGAAUGGUCCACCCACUUUUGACUUUGGCAGUGCGUAAAUUUUAUAAAAUCCUAGUACCAUAAAGUGUUUCAAUUGACACUUUUACUAACACUUCAUGAUUAACAGGUGCGCCAAUCAGAAAAUUACAGUAAAUCUUAUUUUUUUGUUUUUACUUUCCAAAUUAGACUUCUGAAGAUUAUUUUUUCCGGGUAAAUGUCCAAUUUAUUUUUUCAUUUUGGUUCAAAAUAAGUGUCUAGUUAUGUAAUCAAGAAAGAAUUCAAUUUGUUUUUACAAAAUAAUUACCUUGUACAUAUUCCUAAAAGUAGGGUUGUGCAUUUGAUUUAUCGAUUCAAUUUUGACCCUUAUCGAUAAUUACUUAUUGAUUAUCGAUUUGUACAUAUGCUUAUCGUUAUCGUUUCAAUAAGGUCUUGAUUUUUUCGAUUUCAAUUUAUUGAUUUUUGGGGCUUAUCGAUUCGAUUAUUGAUUAUACCAAUAAGAAAAUUUGCGGGAUUCCACAGAAAAUAUAUCGCUACAAACACGUCUAACUAAUAUGGAUAAAAAGAAGCUAAAAUAAGAGUAGCACCGUUUAUAAUAUAAAAAUUGUGUCAACAAGCACAUGCAACGAAAUUAAAGUAAGGGAUCAAAUAUAUGCCACCAACACUCCAAUUAUAUAAAAAAAUAAAAUAUAUUAUCACGACUAAUUCUAUUUUCCAUUAAUUUGAACUUCAUUCGCUUGAACUUUAAAUAUGAUCAUUUCUUAAAUGUGGUAGAGGAAAUAAUAUGGUUAGGAACUUAGAAUAAAGGAAAGGGUAUUAUAAAAUAAGGAUAACAAAAAAAAUUUUUUUUUAAGAAAAUAAAAAAAAUUAUUAGUGUAUCUUAUCGGUUUAUCGAUAAACCGAUAAGCCGAAAAGGAUAAAAUCGAAGUCGAAAUCGAUAAUUCGAUAAGUAAAAUUUUGAAAUCGAAAUCGAUAAGUCGAUAAACCGUUAUCGAUAAACCGAUAAGAAAUAAUCAAUUCGAUUUAUCGAUAAACAGAUUUGAAUGUACUCCAACCUAAAAAGUUUUCUUACUUACAUUAAAUAUUUAAUUAGGAAUAAUUUAGUCAUAAUAGGUAUUUUUGUGUAGGAUUUAGUAUAGGACUGUUAAAAGUAAAUUGGAGCAACUAUGUGAAAAAGUGUAAAAUGGAGAAAGGGGUUUAAAAGUUGUUGGUCGGAAGUAUUAAAAAGACGUAGCAACAAUGAGAGUCGUACAAACGACGGCGGCUCUAUAGAUCGUAUAAUUGCAUAAUUCAUAUGCGAGUCAAAAAAAGUGGUAGGUGAAGGGCAUCUCUAUAAUAACUAUAUAUUAUGAUGUAAAAUUAUAGUAUAUUGUAGUAUCUACAAAAAUCCUUUAAAAAUCACCGAAAAUUUCGUUUCGCGUUUUGCCUCUCUUUUGCUCCUUGUACUCUGUUUUUGCUUUUUUCUUUUUGUCUCUCACAAUUUUCUUCAGGUUUGAUCCAACCCCUUUUCAAUACUUAAAAAGUUGGUUUCUUGUCGCUAUUCUGCUUAAUUUCUGUGUCUAAGUUUGGUGAAUUAUUACUUCUUCUCAUAAUUUGAUAAUUCGAUCUGCUUAGUUCAUUGCUUGCUUAAUCAGUUCUAGUUUGUUGAUCGUUCUUGUGUCUAAUUCUGGUUUAAUUUUGCUCAUAUUAUCACCAACUGCUUUUCACUGUAUGCUCAUUUGGUCAUCUUUCUUGGAUCCUUCGCCUUCUUUCUGAAUAAUUGUAGUCAAAAUUAGCAAAGUUGAUUACUUUUUGCAGCUAUAUCAAAUCUUGUUAACUUCUCAUUUCAGAAUCAAAAAGCUUGCAUGUUAGUGUUCGAUCUAUUACUGUUGUUUUGAUCACUAACUCACAGGGAUCACAUGUUAUAUGGCAGUGUUUGAUUGACUGAUUAUUGGUUUAUAGAUCAGAAUUCACAAGGUUGAAGUGAUCAUACUUGGCUGAAUUGAGUAUUGUCUUCUUUGUGAAUACUACUAGUCAAAAUUAGCAAAGCUGAUUAGUUUGUCCAGUAGUAUCAAUUCUUCUUAACUUCCCAUUUUUUCAGAAUCUUUCAUGUUACUGUAUCGAAUGAAUACUGUUAUUUUUAUCACAAAUUUGCAAAGUUGUUUUCUUUUUGCAUCCAUAUCAAAUCUUGUUAACUAGCCACUUUGCCAAAUCAUUCAUGUUAGUGUUUGAUGGACUGAAUACUGUUGUUUUAAUCACAACUCACAAGGUUCAGAUGUUAUAUGUCAGUGCUUGAUUGACUGAUUAUUGAUUUAUAGAUCAGAAAUCGCAAGGUUGAAGUGAUCAUACUUGGCUGAAUUGAGUUCAAGCUGGUCGUGGGCCUUGAAGAUGGCAGCAUCUUGGUGCAUUGAAAAAAGAGGUUCUCUUCGGCUCGACUCUUUUAGAGAGAAUGAUAAUAUUCCUGAAACCGGGUGUCUUUCCAUUAUUGUUCUUGGCGCUUCUGGUGAUCUUGCCAAGAAGAAAACUUUUCCUGCGCUCUUCAACCUCUACCGACAGGUGCAAUUCACAUCUCAUUACUUUUAUUCUGUACUAGAUUGACAUUUGGUGUUUGUUCUUUGUGGUAAUCUGAUAGAUCCAUUUUGAACUUCAUUCGUCUAUUGUGACAAUGAUAUAUCUAUGACCUAAUCAUAAAACAAAAUCUAACUAAUCAUACCUAGUUAUACUUCUAGUUAAACAGUCAUAUGGAGCUCAUUCAGGCAAUAUGCUAACCUUUAGCAUUGGGCUGGGCACUCUCAGGGGUUCCUGCAAUCCAAUGAAGUUCACAUUUUUGGCUAUGCAAGGACCAAAAUUUCUGACAACGACUUGAGAAGCCGUAUCCGUGGGUGAGUGUGAUAUAUGUUGCAUUUUUCCUGUCUCCAUUUCGUGAUGAAGUAUGUUGUUGUUCACCUUGUCUCUAUUGAUGACUUGAGAAGCCGUAUCCGUGGGUGAGUGCGAUAUCUAUUGCAUUUUUCCGGUCUCCAUUUUGUGAUGAAGUAUGUUUUUGUCCACCUUGUCUCUAUUGAUGUCAAUGUUCAGAUACUUUUUGUCUUAGUCUCCACAAUAUGGGAAAGCCAGGAUGUACCACAGCUUUGAAUUAUUCUUUUAUUUUUAUUUUUGAAAAUACGGUUUCAAGCUCAUCUGUUCUUCUGUGGGAUGGUUCUUUCCCACCACGUGUCCCCUACACUCUCCCAAAAAGAAAGAUCUUUUCGUUAAAGUUUAGCUACUUUUCUCUCCUUGAGCCGAGUGUCUGUCGGAAACAACCUUUCUCUCUUUAUAAGAUAGGGGUAAGGUCUGCAUACACCCUACCCUCCGCAAACCAUACUUAUGGGAUUACACUGGGUUUGUUGUUGUUGUUGUUAGCUUCUUUUCUAAUUAGAGUAUUCUUCUACUUGUAUAGUUUCACUUUACUGCAGUACAUGUUUCUUGCAAACAUGGGGAGAGUUCCUGGGGUUUAACGACCUUCUCUGACUGCAGGUAUCUUUCUAAGGGGAAAGAAUAUCAAGAAGAAGUAUCGGAGUUUCUGCAACUGGUGAGUGGAAAGAUUCUUCAUAUUCUAUUCACCAUUUAACUGAUGUGCAAUUAGCUUACCCGCUACUGUUCUUUCAGAUUAAAUACGUCAGUGGCUCUUAUGAUUCUGGGGAGGGCUUUAGUUUACUGGACAAGGCGAUAGCUGAGCACGAAAUCGCAAAAAAUAGCACGGAAGGAUCAUCCAGAAGACUCUUCUACUUUGCUCUUCCUCCAUCAGUAUAUCCCUCUGUUUGCAGGAUGAUAAAAAACUAUUGUAUGAACAAAUGUAUGUAUUUCUUCUCAUAAUGAUUAACUUGACUGAUUACUUACUAAUGCAAUUAUCAUUCUUUUGGUCUUUCAACACUAGGCUUCGAAGAUGAAUUUAAACAUUUAUGCGUGGUUAUAUUGGAUAUAUGCUACUAUCCUAAUAUAAAUAAAAAUUACGAAUAUGUGUUACUGUUUCCUUACCUUCCUUUCUGGUUGUCAUUGUCUUUUAUAAAUAUUGUCCCUUUUAAGUUGAAUAGUUGUCAUAAAAAUAAAUGAUAGAUUGUACAUUCUUUAAACAGGAGGAUCAAAUUUAGUGCUAUUGUCAUCUAUAUUUUGUAGAAGUAAACUGUAAUGAAUAAACUUGAGUUGUUCAAGAAAAGAAAAAUCUCCUUUUUAACGAACAAAUAAUUCUUUUUUGGUGCAAAUUGGUAAACCAUUGUGUUAAGUUUUCAUUAGUUUGGGAUGUUUUCUAAUGUAUAGUUAACAACUUUACUGUUCUGUUGAAUUUUUACAUUCUAAUUUUGAUUUAUGAAGAAAAAAAUUGCCAGCUAACCUUAUGGCUUGUGUAAGAUGUCCUCAAUUCAUGGUACUUGGUCAGAUUGAGUGCAAAUAAUUAGCUGUUUUCAUUUUUGCUUGCGAUGCUUUUGGAUACUCAACAGAAAAUGUUAAAGAUUUUCUUGCACUAUGCAGCUGAUCUUGGUGGUUGGACUCGCAUUGUUGUUGAGAAGCCCUUUGGCAAGGAUUUAGCUUCAGCUGAGCAACUAAGUUCCCAGAUAGGAGAACUAUUUGAUGAACCCCAAAUUUACCGGAUUGACCAUUAUUUGGGGAAGGAGUUGGUUCAGAAUUUGGUACUUUCUAAAACAAAUAUUUUGUUGAUUAUGAAUAAUGAGUAUGUGCAUUUAUCUCAUACUGUAUGAAAACAAAUGCAGUUGGUGCUGCGUUUUGCAAAUCGCUUCUUUUUGCCGCUCUGGAAUCGUGACAACAUUGAUAAUAUACAGGUAUAUUUCUCCCUUUUAAGAUACAUGUGCACAAUACUAAUUUCUUAUAAUAUAAACUAUAAAGAAGAUUUAGUGGAGUAUAAUAUUUGAAAUCAUUACAUGCCUCUCGCACUUCGUAGUGAGGGAGUAAUUUGUUAUCUAGAGUGGAUUCCGAAUCGGGUGGUUAAAUUGUGUUUUUACUAUCUGAUGUUUGGAACAAAGUAAGAAGCAACACGAUGAGCCAUUACAAAAGCUAAGAUCAUGAAGGGAAAUCUCAUUAGUCAAUAUUAGAUAGAUAUUGAUAUCAGUUAACUUAUCAACUACCACAGUAGCUUCCUUUUGUAGGAAACUCAGUAGUCAAUAUUAGGUAGAUAUUGAUAUCAGUUAACUUACCAACUACCAAAGUAGUUCCUUUUGUCCUUUCUGUUUCUCGUCCCCACGUGGUUUCUGAGUUUCUUAGUUGCAUGUCCGUCGCCUCUGAGUGGUCACUUUGUGUGUCCAUUUUUGCAGAUUGUCUUUAGGGAGGACUUUGGAACUGAAGGCCGCGGUGGAUAUUUUGAUGAAUAUGGGUAUGCCUAUGUCUCCUGAGAACUUCCAUUUAUUUUCUCUGAGCACCAGGCACCUUUUCUUACUGUUGGAUUUUGAAGAUAUUCUGUCUCCCUUUCUGAGUGCGAUUGCGUUAGACAAGAGGGGUUGCUAUGAUGGUAAGCAACCCCCACUUCCAACUGAGAGGUUGUGAGAUCGAGUCUCCCCAAGAGCAAGGUGGGAAGUUCUUGGAGGGAAGGAUGCCGGGGGUCUAUUUGGAAACAGCCUCUCUACCCAAGGGUAUGGGUAAGGUCUGCGUACACUACCCUCCCCAGACCCCACUAAGUGGGAUUAUACUGGGUUGUUGUUGUUGUUGUCUGUCUCCAAUGUAAUCCUUUGAAAUAUAAUAACAUUGAGUGCUAGAUGAUUGAUGACUAGAGUAGUUGUCGAUUGACCAUGAGUUCAUGUUAGAGAGUAGAAUGACCUAUACUGGAGGCAGAAAGAGAGCAGGAAUUCCAGGAUAAUAUGUCGAAUGAUGUCCUCAAACUUUAGUAAGUCAAUUGGCACACCGUUCAUAUGGGUUGUGUCAUGAUGUGGGUUACGAAGAUGUGCUACUAGUUGGUCUUUUGGAGAGUGUGUUUGAGGUUGAACAACAAAGUCAGCCAAAUCUAUGCUGUUGGGUAUAGACUAGCUCAAAAAUCUCCUCUUGUUUUUAGCAGGUUUAGUUAUUUUUAACACCACUUGGGAAGUGUUUCGGUAUUACCAAACAAAAUUUCCUCUGGUUUUUAGCAGGUUUAGUGAUUUUUAACGCCACUUGGGAAGUGUUUCGGUAUUACCAAAAUUAAGGCGUAUUCAACUUCCAGUUAAACUUGCUAUUCCGUUUUUCUUGAAAAUAGUGGCUUCUGCUCCCCUAACUUGAAGGAUCAGAUAUUGUUUUCGCAGAUGUUCCAAAAUGAAGCCUAUAAAUUUUCCUUCUCUGUACUUCAUUAAGCUUCAUUUUGAAAUUUUUUGUAAUAAAUAGCCUUGUAUUUUCUUCCAUUUUGCAGGAUUAUACGUGACAUUAUUCAGAAUCAUCUAUUGCAGGUGACCCAUAAAUAUUCCAUCUUUAAAGCUAAUAAGUGCUAUCUACUUUUUAUGUUUACUAUUAUUUUUAUUUUGUCUAAUAAUAUCGGCUUGAGAUGAGAUUAAAUGGAGUAACAUGAUCAGUGAGGGUUCGACUCCCAACUUGUUUGGGUCUUUGGGAUUGAGGCUUAGUAGUUGUUGAAUGUCCAAAUCAUCAUCAUACCUUGUUAGUUAGAAACUUAGAGUUUGAGGUUUACUAUACUUCAUGCGUUUUCUCCUGGAAGUACAUUACAAGAAGCCAAUUCUUGAUUAUGUCUCUGGAUUUUGGUAUAACCAAUGCCUGCACACACAUAUACAUUCAGAUCUGGAAAAUCCAUCACCAUAUUAAACUUUUGAUAUAUGCAAUUAUUUCCUUGCGUAAGCUUGUCCUUGUAUUCAUUCAAAACAUUGGUGGUGGGGGGCAAUGUCGGAGGCAGGAUUUCCGCCAAGGGGGUUCAAGAAAGAACCGUAAGCUUCUCCUUGUAUUCAUUCAAAACAUUGGUGGUGGGGGCAAAGGCGGAGGCAGGAUUUCUGCCAAGGGGGUUCAAAAAAUAAAAGUUAAAAAUUAAAAGAGACUGUGGCCAAUGGAAUUGAACCGACGACCUCACAAAGGUUUUGAACAUCCCGACCACUGAGCUAUGCUUUAGAGCUGCGUCAAGGGGAUUCAAAAUAUAAUAUAUAUAGGCAUGAAAGGGAUUUUGCACAUAUGUAAUUUUCCGGCGAAGGAGAACCC